AACAGGCAUUAAAGAGCUACCCUCAUCAAUCCAGUCUCUCACAAGACUCCGUGAUUUGGAUAUGAGUGGUUGCUCAAAACUUGAAAGCCUGCCAGAAAUCACAGUGCCUAUGGAAUCUUUGGUGGAGCUUAACUUGAGUAAAACGGGCAUUAAAGAGCUACCUUCGAUAUCAUUUAAGCAUAUGACAUCUUUGAAGAUUCUAAAAUUAGAUGGAACGCCACUUAAAGAGCUACCGUCAUCAAUCCAGUUUCUCACAAGACUCCAAUCGUUGGAUAUGAGUGGUUGCUCAAAACUUGAGAGCUUCCCACAAAUCACAGUGCCUAUGGAAUCUUUGGUGGAGCUUAACUUGAGUAAAACGGGCAUUAAAGAGAUACCUUCGAUAUCAUUUAAGCAUAUGACAUCUUUGAAGAUUCUAAAAUUAGAUGGAACGCCACUUAAAGAGCUACCGUCAUCAAUCCAGUUUCUCACAAGACUCCAAUCGUUGGAUAUGAGUGGUUGCUCAAAACUUGAGAGCUUCCCAGAAAUCACAGUGCCUAUGGAAUCUUUGGCGGAGCUUAACUUGAGUAAAACGGGCAUUAAAGAGCUACCAUUGUCAAUCAAAGAUAUGGUAUGUUUGAAAAAACUGACUUUGGAGGGAACGCCUAUUAAAGAGCUACCCUUGUCAAUCAAAGAUAUGGUAUGUUUGGAAGAACUGACUUUGCAUGGAACACCUAUUAAAGCGUUACCUGAGCUCCCCCCUUCGCUGAGGUAUCUACGUACACGUGACUGUUCAUCACUAGAAACCGUGACAUCAAUCAUCAAUAUCGGUAGAUUACAGUUACGAUGGGAUUUUACAAAUUGCUUCAAAGUGGAUCAGAAACCACUGAUAGAGGCAAUGCAUUUGAAAAUUCAGGUAUCUCUCUAAACCCCCUUGUCUUUCUUUCUUCUCUCUCUCUUGCUUGCUUCAUCACAUUUUCGAAAUGUGACUUUCGUGUUACAGUCCGGAGAGGAGAUCCCACGUGGGGGAAUAAUUGAAAUGGUUCUACCGGGGAGUGAAAUUCCAGAAUGGUUCGGUGACAAAGGAGUUGGAUCUUCACUCACCAUACAGUUGCCCUCAAAUUGUCAUCAGCUCAAGGGAAUUGCUUUCUGCCUUGUCUUUCUACUCCCUCUUCCAUCCCGUGACUUAUAUUUUGAUGUCCAUGUUAAGUAUAAGAACGGUGAGCAUAUGCCGCUUCCCGAAAGGUUAUAUCAUAUAAGUUGGGGACAUGUGACUCAGAUCACAUGAUUCUACAAUACAGAUUGGUAAAUCAAUUGCCUGAAAAUUAUGGCAAUGAAGUUACAUUUAAAUUCUACCUCCUUGAAGAGGACAACAAGGGAAGGAUGGUAGGUGAUGAGAGCCAAAGGCCUUUCGAGUUGAAAAGUUGGGGGGUGUAUCUGCACUUUGAUGAAAAUCUACCUGCGGACACGGAUCUUCCUUAACAAACAAAAGUUCAGAAGAAAUUAAAUUGAGGGAGAAAUAAAAGGAGAUUGAAAGGGAGAGAGAGUUAUGUAGUUACUGCAAAUUGAUCUACAAUUAUUACUUGGUUUUCAAGAUAGCUGUAAAUAUUGUUAUUCCCUUGCAACUGACUAACAAACUAACUUUCUGUUAUUCAACUAAUUCCUCAACAAACUGUAACAACCAUCCAUCUGGGCCUGUUUGUUUCUGCGUUUCAAAAGCGCUUUUAAUAAAAUUUGAAAAUUUUUUAUUUUUUUAUUAACUUCAAAUUAAUAUGUUUUUAGUGUUUUUAAAUCAUUUUGAUGUGCUGAUGUCAAAAAUGAUUUUUAAAAAAUAAAAAAACAUCAUUGGCAUGCAUUUUGACACGAAAAGCUAUUUGAAAAGCAACCGCAACCACACUGCCAAACAAACCCUUAAGUAAUGAAUCAUGUGCGCAUUUAUUCUUGCACAUGCAGAAUAAGUACAUUUAGUCAUGUUUUGGAUCUUUGAUUUCCAUUUACAAGAAAAACAGUAAGUACAUAAAAACUUUAAAUUCAAGAUUUUAUUAUUGUAUAUUUUAUAACUCUUUCAAAUAAACUCAAAACUAGCCUAGCAAACUAAGAAAUAUAAAAUAAAAAUAACAAAAUUAGCUCAGACAAUAUUUUUUUAACCUAAUUUAGAAAAAUUCUAGAUAUCAGCUGAUUAUAAAUAAACUCAAAAAUUCUAGAUUAUAACUAACCAACCUCAUUUUAAAACUGGAUCUUGACAAAAUCUAAAGAGUCUGAAAGUUAUAACUAAUUCCUCAACUAAUUUAGAAGAAUUCGGGACCGUGUUUACCAGAUAUGUUAAGGAUCUUUGAUUUUCAUUUACUAACCUAGACCUCUUCUUAGAUUUUGCCGUGUGAUGCGGAGGUUUCCAUCCAAGGAUGGAUUGAGGAAUUAUUCCCAUUUAACUUCAUCAGCUUUUUACUUAUAGCCAGUGAAUAAAUCUCAAUCGUAUCCAUAUCACAUUCAAAGUAGGUGGAUUAAUUUAUUUAAAUUCAUGAUAAUUUCAUAAAUAUUAAAAUGUAAUAAAUUAUAAAGUUUAAUUUACAAAUGAUUUAAGUUAAUCAGUUAAAUUUUUCAUAACUCUGUUAUCCGAGUUAUAUGCUCUACUAGGUUUAAUAACUGUUAUUUUUUCUGAAAUUAUUUUUUAUUUAACUUAAAAAUCAAACAUUCAAUUCAAAGGCAUGACCUAUUUUGGUCAUUUUCUAAAACUUAAAAUUUGAUUAGCAAUCCCAAGCAUAGAAUUAUUUUGACAUUACAAAAACAAUGUGUCAAACAAAUUGAAAGUAAUUAUUAGGUUUUAAACCAUGCAAACAUGAUAUAAAGAUGAAAUUGAAAUGAAAACACUUUGGGAACCAAAACGAACAAUUGCAAAAGGGCCAAUUUUUUUUAUUAAAAAAAAGAGGGAUCAGUUAGGCGCAAUGUGGCAGCUGAUAUAUAAAAACGGCAUAGUUUUGACAAGAAAGAAGUAUAAAAGCCCAUAUCCGCAAACCAUCCAAUCCUCCUUAUCCGUAUAAAAACCCAUAUCCACAAACACUGCUUCCCUCCCUCCCUCUGCAAUUCACUCUCCCAUUUCUCACUUGAAGAAGAUCAGCCCAAGAAAAUGGCGGUGAAGAUUCGUUUAUUUUCAUAGGCUGGGAUGCAAAAACAGGGCAUUUUACAGAAUUGUUGCUGCUGAUAGCCAUACAGAGUUAUCUGUUCACUUUUUGCCAAUUUUGAAUUAAAGGAGGAGAAAACUGAUGGAUCAAUCUUUAGUUUGCAUGAAGCUCUUGUAUGGCUGCUUCUAUUUGCCUGUUUGAUUAAAUGGGUUGGCGCAAUGUCUUCAUCUUGUUUAGUUGAUUUUGGCUGUUCUUCUACUUGCUUCUGCAGGUAUUGGUUAUGAGAGCUCAGCCUACAGACACCGUGCGUGGCAUUCUUAUGAGAGAUGGUUUAAUAUCGCCACCACCGAUGGUUGUUAUGGGGCAGAAAAAGGGACCAGCUGGUGAGACCUCGAAUCCAGAUAAGUAAAUUACCCUGUAAAAGUUACCAUCUCUGCUGCUUUUAUGCUUCUUCUGUUUUGUACCUGUAUGCUUGAUCCAGCACUGAAUGGGUUCAGAGCUAAAUUUUCUUUCCAGGUUGUUGAAUGAAUUCAAGUUUAAAAUUCUCUUAAUUAAUUCUUGUGUUCAUUAUAUUUGUCCUUUAUGCUUAUGUCCAACCACCUGUUAAAGACAAUGCUUUGAGAUGAUCAUUUCCUGUUGUACAGCUUAAUAUUGCUCAGUCUAGUAAGAUAGGCCGCGCAUCUUCUUAAAUUCACAUCUUUUCCCUAUUCUGAGCUCGCUUUCCAUGUCCCAUGUAAUGCAGAAUAACUGUUAAAAGGGCUUCAUACAUUUCAAAUGUGUGAGAAUCUGGAACAUCUGCGUCAUGAUGUUCAUCUCCUUGUACUUGAGAAAAUAUUUAUUGCUGAUUGUUGUGUCAUUAGCAAUUAGAUGACUGCAGUAUUAAUACUUCAGCUUUACACCUUUUCUUAACAGAGGAUAUAUUCUUAUUUGAUAACAAAAUAAAAAUUAUAAAGAAAAAAAAAAAGCUCAAAACAAACUAAAAAAAUUAAUUUUAAAAAAGAAUGAAAAAACCUAACUCGAGUCAACAUGUCAAAUUUAUAGCUAAGUCAUGAAAGCAGGAUAAUUUUAUAUAGAACAAAUUGAAUAAAAUAAUGGAGACCAACUCUCAAACAAACUAGAUAAUGAAAGACAAAACUAAAAAAAAAUCAAUUGAAAAAACCAUUGAAAAAAAAAAUGAGUCAAUCCGUGUUAAUUUGACUAACUCGUGACUUGAGAUAUGAGAUCGGGUUAACCCCACAAAAAGAAAAGCGAAAAAAAUCAUGAAUUUUAAGGCCUAAUAACCUAAUGUCGAAUGAUGAAAUUAAAAAAAAAAAUUCUAAAACAUAACCUAAAAACAUCAAAGUUAAAUCGGGUUAAUGUUUGAAACUCGUAAUGUAGGUCAUGAGACCAGGAUCAUCAUAUAGAAGGUAAACAUGAAAAAUUCACGAAGCCAAAUUCCUAAGAAUUCAAGAUUAAAAAACAAAAUAAAUAGCAAUCAAAAGGAUUAGGACCAUAUUUUAUAUAAAAAUAAAAUGAAAUAAAAUAAUGAGAGACUAAAUUGAGAAAUAAAUUAAAUUAAAAAAAUAGCAAUAAAAUGAAUUAGUACCAAAUUGGAUACAAAAAUUAAAUGAAAUAAAUUUCAUGGGAUGAAAUUGAAAAAAAAAUCAAGGAAAGUAUAAAAAACAAAAAAAAUAGCAUUUAAAAGAACGAGGACCACAUUGGAUACAAAAACUAAAUGAAAUAAAAUGUCGAAAGAUGAUAUUGAAAAAAAAAUCAACUUUAAAAAGCAUCAAAAGCAAAACAAAUAAUAAUUAAAAUAAUGAGAACAAAAUUGAUACAAAUACAAAUUAAACAUGAUAUAUUUAAUUUUAAAAAAAAUUGACAUGAAACUCAAGGCUAGAAGAGAGAAAAGAGAGAUGAAACGAAAGGAGAGAAAGAGCCCAACAACUAUGCCACCAUGCACACGCACACGUACUUGACCGUUGGAAAGAGGAUGUUGUGAUGCUUUCAACAUCGUCAUAAAAUGCAAAGUUUGUCUGCUGAGAGAAAUGUUGCAUGCGCGGUCCAAAAAAUAGUUUAUUCUUAGUGGUAGUCUAUCAUGUUGUUAUCAAAUUCAAUCCAUGGGCCGAUUUGGCUAAAAGAUCAGGUCUAGGUUAUAUUAAUUGGCCUGGAUUAAUCUAAAAAAAUUAAAAAAAAUUUAUUUGGGGUUUUAAAAAAACAAUUUAUAUGAAUAAACUAUAUAUGUUAUAAAUAAUAAAAUUUCAAAAAAUAUUUUUGCUUUUAAAAAUCUCAUGUAACGCCUAUACUGUCUCAACCUUCACUUUUGUUCUUGUCCCUCCUAAUUGAUUUAAUGUUUUUCACGUUGUUAUACAAUUGGGAUCUCUUUUAAACAAUAUCGGACAAAUUUCUCGCUAAACAAUAAUGAAAGUUAUGAUCCAACAUCCACCUUUUAAGUUAUCAUUGAAAAUUCUCAAAUAAUGACAUUUCAUCACAGUGUAAUAAUCAAAAUUGACUUCUCAGGGUCUCCAGUCCGAUAAAAUGACUUCUCACGGGAAUACGAUUCAUCACGUUGGUCACUAGAUUCCAAGUUGACCCAGCAGAUUAACAGGUUUUGCUAUGCAAUUACUGGUCUGGUUUUUGACCGAUACAAACCCAGCCAAAGCUCCACAUCACAAAACAAAUAAAAAAAAAAGAAAAAAAAAUAACAAACACUUGAUUGGUGCGUCUAGGGUCGAAGACUUGUGCCCUUUCCUCCCAAAUCACAAAUAAAAUAAAGAACAAGUCCUCUAGGGGAAGCUCCAGGAAGUCAACAAAGUGCACCCUGUUAAACAAGACAACUUAGAACUAUCAUCGGCUGAUCAACGUAGAGACCGUGUGUGUACAAUCUUUCACACCCUCUGUGUAAUGUCUGAGAAAAUACUUGGAUUUGAAACCCCCAUUGUUACAUUUAUACAUAUGUCUAAACCAGGGUCUUAAACACGCAAAGCCUACGCCACUGAUUCAAAAUCAGCCUCAUCUUUUUUCCUUGAGUUAUUUCCGUUCUUUCCCUACAGACUUACCCUGCCACCAGAGUCUUACUCCUGUUACUUCGACUGUUUCUCCACAAAACAAUGGCAAUGUUUUUCUUGUUUCUCUCUAUCUUUUUGUUUGCACAUAUCUGGAGAUUCAUCAUACGAAGCCGUCAUAUUUCUCCAUCGCCAUCUACUCCUUCCACCUUAACCACCGCCCAGCCACAAGUAAUUAAAUAUGAUGUCUUCCUUAGUUUCAGGGGCGAAGACACUCGUUUUGAUUUUACCAGCCACCUCCAUGCUGCUUUGAAACGGAAACAAAUCCUAACUUUCAUCGAUGAUCAGCAAGUGAGAGGAGAUGAGAUACCGGAAUCACUUCUGAGAACAAUUGAAGAGGCCAAGCUUUCUGUGCCUGUUUUUUCUGAAAACUAUGCAUCUUCCAAAUGGUGCUUGGAGGAGCUUGUAAAGAUUUUUGAGCGUAGAAAAAAUAAUGGACAGAUAGUUAUUCCGGUAUUCUACAAGGUGAAUCCAUCCCAUGUAAGAAGCUUUCGAGAUGCAUUUGCUGGAUUGAUAAAGAAUAAAACUUUGACGGAGUACAAAGAGAAGAGCUUCAGAGACGCUUUGACGGAUACAGCCAAUCUAUCUGGAUGGACCUUAGGGAAGUCUGAGUAAGCUCUUGAAAUAUAUCCCAUGAGAAAAUAUUCGUUCAUUUGUUGAGGAUUUGAAAUUUAAUUUAAGAAAAUGAUGAGCUCUAUGAAUCUAUAUUUAUUUGAUUUGAUUUUGAAAAUGUUGUUGCGAAACGCUUACAUGGAUAUUACUUGGUUGUUUGUUUUUUGUGUUUUGAAAUGUUUUUGAAAAAAUUUAAAUUUUUUUAUUUGAAAUUAAUUUUUUCUAAUGUUUUCUUAUUAAUAUGUUAUAUCAAAAAUAACUUUGAUUGAGAUGAUUCUAUUAUGAUAAUAUGAUACGAGAAAACAUCUAAUGCAUUUGCAUUUCAUUGAUUAACUGUAGCUUGAGAUAAGUAGGGAGCUGCCUAUUUCUGAACUCAAUGUUAUCAUCGAUUCAUGUGUUACAUUAGCACUAUCCAUUGCCAAUAACGAUUCCCAAUUACUCGUACGUGCCUGCUAUGUAUAUAUGUAGCUACUAAGGAGGAAUAUGUUUAUAUGUUUCUUCUUGUCCGGUCCAUUCUGACAAACAAAUAUAUGUGUGUGUUCUUCUUGUUUGUCAGGCCGGAGUCUGAAUUUAUUGACAAAAUCGUUGGAGAUGUUAUGAACAAAUUGCAAGCCAUGUCUUCAAGUCACACUAGGGGUCUAUUUGGAAUUGAUGUUCGUGUUAACAAAGUUGAGUCUUUGUUAAAUAUGGAAUCUCCAGAUGUUCUCAUUGUAGGGAUAUGGGGAAUGGGUGGUAUCGGUAAAACAACGAUUGCUGAAGUUGUGUGCAACAAGGUUUGUUCUCUAUUUGAAGGAAUCUUUUUUGUAAAUUUUAGGCAACAAUUAAAAGCACAUCCCAUGGCUGAUCUGCGAAGAAGAUUUCUUUCACGGCUGCUUGGCCAAGAAAUUAUGAACAGGGGCUCCUUGAGUUUUCGAGAUUCUUUUGUGAGGGAUAGACUUCGUCGCAUAAAGGUUUUGAUUGUUCUGGAUGAUGUGGAUAAUUUAAUGUGUUUGGAAGAAUGGAGAGAUUUGCUUGAUGGACGAAACAGUUCAUUUGAUGCGGGCAGUAAAGUUCUCAUAACAAGUAGGGACAAGCAAGUGCUUAAUAAUGUAGUAGACGACACAUACGAGGUUGAGGGGUUGAACUAUGAAGAAUCUCUUCAACUCUUUAGCUCAAAAGCCUUGAAGAAUUGCAACCCCACAAUUGAUCAUAGACACUUAAUAGCACAGAUUGUAAGUCUUGUACAAGGCAAUCCGUUGGCUCUUAUAGUUUUGGGUUCCUCUCUCUAUGGUAAAAGCAUCAAAGAAUGACGCAGUGCAUUGAAUAAACUAGCUCAGGACCCUCAAAUAAAAAAGGCGUUGAUAAUUAGUUACAAAGGGUUGGAUUCAGAACAAAAAUCCAUAUUUCUUGACAUAGCACAUUUCUUGAGAAGAUGGGAGUCAAACCGAGCAACAAGAAUAUUAGAUGGCUUUUAUGGUCGGCAUGUGAUUUUUGAUAUAAGCACGCUCAUUGACAAGUGUCUCAUAACUACAACUGAAAACAUGCUAGAAAUGCAUGAUUUACUACAAGAAAUGGCAUUUAACAUUGUCCGUGCAGAAUCUGAUUUUCCUGGCGAACAUAGCAGGUUAUGUCGUCUUCCUGAUGUCGUUCAUGUAUUGGAGGAAAAUAAGGUUAAAUCUACAGCCAUUACCUGUCAUUUAUGAAUUUGCUCAAAAGUUGAUGUAUUAUUGUUUGUUUAUUCUUUAUUAUUGUUUAACAGGGAACUCAAAAAAUUAAAGGCAUGUCUUUGGACAUGUCCAUGUUAUCAAGACAUAUACACUUGAAAUCUGAUGCCUUCGCAAUGAUGGAUGGUCUUAGAUUUCUCAAUUUCUAUCACGAUGGUAUCUCCAAAGAAAAUAUAGUGCACCUUCCUCCUACUGGCCUCGAAUAUCUUCCUAAUGAGCUGAGAUAUUUGCGAUGGUAUGGAUUCCCUUCGAAAUCCUUGCCGCCAUCUUUUCGUGUUGAACACCUUGUCGAGCUUGACCUAUGCGGAAGCAAGCUUGUAAAACUUUGGACUGGAGUAAAGGUAUGUUUGAAUUGCUGCAGAUUUAUGAUCAGAAAUAUGUAGUUGGAGGUGCUGACUUUCUAAUUAUGCCUUUUUCUGCUGACAGGAUGUUGGAAAUUUAAGAAAAAUUACCCUAUCUUACUCUCCAUAUUUGACAGAAUUGCCAGAUCUAUCAAAGGCCAAAAAUUUAGAGUGCUUACAACUUGUGGCCUGUUAUAGUUUAACUGAGGUUCCGUCAUCUCUUCAAUAUCUUGACAAGCUGGAAGAACUUGAUGUCCAUUUUUGCUAUAAUCUUAGAAGUUUUCCAAUGCUUGAUUCAAAGGUUCUUAAGAAAAAUUACCCUAUCUUACUCUCCAUAUUUGACAGAAUUGCCAGAUCUAUCAAAGGCCAAAAAUUUAGAGUGCUUACAACUUGUGGCCUGUUAUAGUUUAACUGAGGUUCCGUCAUCUCUUCAAUAUCUUGACAAGCCGGAAGAACUUGAUGUCCAUUUUUGCUAUAAUCUUAGAAGUUUUCCAAUGCUUGAUUCAAAGGUUCUCAAAGUACUUCUUAUAAGUCGGUGCCUAGAUGUGACCACGUGUCCAACGAUUUCACAAAAUAUGAAAUACUUGUACUUGGAGCAAACUUCAAUCAAAGAAGUUCCACAAUCAGUUACUCGUAAGUUGGAACGUCUUUUUCUAAAUGGUUGCUCAAAGAUGACCAAGUUUCCAGAGAAUUUAGAGGAUAUAAAAGCAUUAUAUCUAAGGGGAACUGCUAUUAAAUAGGUGUCCUCGUCAAUCCAGUUUCUCACAAGACUCUGCGUGUUGGAUAUGAGUGGUUGCUCAAUGUUGUAUUAAACUCAAUCAAUCUAGAAGGUCAAGGAAGGGAACCAUCACUUGCAGCCACCAGCUGUCACCGCCCAGGCGCCAGCUACCAGCUAUAUGCCGCCAGCCGCCUUCACACUUGAAGGUUGAAAUAUCUUGUUUUGAAUUCGUGUAUAAAUAGGUAUCUCAGUGGAUGUUAUUCUGUGUGGAAAGAGAAGAAAGAAACACUAGAGAGAAAGAGAGAGGGAGUGUAUUCAAAGCUUUUGUUUAAUCUUUGUAAGCUUUUUAUUGCUGAAAUAAAACAGUGUGUUUUAUACCCUCUGAGUGUUUCAAAGCCACCACCAGUGGUUUCUCCCACCAACAAUUGGUAUCAGAGCCCCGUUCGUCAGAAAACAGAAGUGUUUUGGGAGAUAUCCGAAUUUUCAAAGUUGUCCAAAACAAGUUUUGAUCAUUUCAAAGUGUAGAGCUCAUCCAUACGAACUCACUGGUGCAACAAUCAGCUUGAUCGGAGACGGAGGUAGCCCACACGCGCCACCGGAAGAUUCUGCACUGUUUGACCACGCGCAUACCACGCGCCCAGAGGUAGACGACGACUGAGACACACGCGCGCCAUAUUCAAGCCGCGCCGAGCCACUAAGCCGACUUCAAAGCCGAGUCGUUCGAUAGUCGCAGCCGAGCCGAUAGAAUAUUCCGCAGAAUAUUCCCGGUUCAACCCCAGCGAACCGCCCGACGCCCAGAUUUGGUGUUCUGACCGGUUCACCCCAUUUCGGACCCAUUUUCAACAAAGUCAGACCAGUUCCCUACGUUUUGAAGCAUUCCGGAUCGAUCUACAGUGUCCGUUUUGCCAAAUUGAACUCCCAGAAGGUGAAAUAGUCAUUCAAAGAGCAAAAUGACUACAGAAAAUGCACAUACACUCAUCCCGAAGCUAACCAAAGACAACUAUGAUAGUUGGUGCAUCAGAUUGAAGGCAUUUCUUGGUUCUCAAGAGUGUAUAGAGAUUGUGCAAUAUGGUUAUGAUGAACCAGAGUCUAAAGAAGCAGAAGAUGCUCUACAAGAGGCAGAAAAGCAAGUCCUCAAAGCAAAUAGAAAGAAAGACAACAAAGCAAAGACCAUCAUCUAUCAAGGUCUUGAUGAAGCUAUAUUCGAGAUUAUUGCUUCCACAUAAACAUCAAAAGAAAUAUGGGAGGCUCUCCAACAAAAAUACAAAGGUGCUGACAGAAUCAAGAAGAUUCGUCUUCAAUCUUUGCGAGGUGAGUUUGAAUUAUUGCAAAUGAAGGCCUCAGAAUCUAUUUCUGACUAUCACACAAGAAUUAUGGUGAUAGUCAAUCAGAUGAAAAGAAAUGGAGAAGCCCUCAUAGAUGCUCGGAUUACUGAGAAAAUUUUGAGAUCCCUAGAUCCAAAAUUUGAUUUUGUUGUUGUCGCUAUUGAAGAGUCCAAAGAAGUGGACAAGUUGAUGGUGGAUGAACUUAUGAGUUCUUUGCAAGCUCAUGAGCAAAAGAUUGUCAAAAGAAAUGGAGAUAAGGCAAUUGAGCAUGCCUUACAAACAAAGUUGUCGCUCAAAGACAGAUAUGAGCAAGGGGAGACCUCAACAAGUGGAUAUACUACUCAAGGAAGAAGUCCACAAAGACGAGGAGGAUUUCAGCAAUUCCAAGGAAGAGGAUCUUGGAAUACAGGUUUCAGAGGAAGAGGUGGUAGAAACACCACCAGAGGAGGUCGAGGACAACAAGCAUUUACUCCUAGAGGAAGAGGAGGCGGUUACAAUAACCAUGACAAGAGAAAUAUCCAGUGUUAUAGAUGCAAUCAAUUUGGGCACUAUAGCACUGAAUGUCAAAGGAAAGCUCCAUUAGAGGUACGUGAGCAUGCCAACUAUGCAGAGGAGGAUGCCAACAACAGAGGAGCAGCUGCAUUAUUUGUCCAACAAGGACUUGGCGAGACUCAGGAGAAUAUUUGGUAUCUAGAUUCUGGAGCCAGCAAUCAUAUGUGUGGCCAACGAGAGUUAUUUGGUGAUCUAGAUGAGACCAAGAAAGGUUUAGUUACUUUUGGAGAUACCUCAAAGGUUCCAUUCAAAGGUAAAGGCAGCAUCCCAAUCAAGUUGAAGAACGGCGAUUCCAGCUACAUCGCCGAUGUUUAUUAUGUCCCAGCCAUAAAGCAGAACCUGAUCAGCUUAGGUCAAUUUAUGGAGAGAGGUUAUACUUUUUACUCGAAGAAUUGUCAUCUGACAAUUAGAGACAACAAUUGGAGAUUAAUUGCCUAUGUGAAAAUGUCCAAGAAUAGGAUGUUUCCUUUAAACAUCCACUAUGAUGCAGCAAAGUGUUUGAGUGCCAUCACCAACAGUGAAGAAUGGCUCUGGCACCUGAGGCUUGGACAUCUGAAUUUCACGAGCUUGAAGAUGCUAGCAAGCAAGAAGAUGGUCAAAUGUAUGCCUCACAUUGAUCAUCCAGAUGAAGUCUGUGAGAGUUGUGUCCUCAGCAAACAUCACAGAUCCAGUUUUGCCAAAGAAGUCAACUGGAAAGCAAAGAGGCCACUGGAGUUAGUGCACACAAAUGUGUGUGGUCCCAUAAAGCCUAUGUCGACUGGACAGAAUAGGUACUUCCUUACUUUUAUUGAUGAUUUUAGCAGAAAGACAUGGAUAUACUUUCUGAAGAGGAAGUCAGAGGUGUUCAAUUGUUUUAAAGAGUUUAAAGCAAUUGUUGAGAAGCAAAGUGGCUAUAAGAUCAGAACAGUGAGAUCUGAUCAAGGUGGAGAAUAUACAGCAAAUGACUUUGAAGCCUUCUGUACACAACAAGGCAUCAGACAUCAAACAACGCCUGCUUAUACACCACAGCUGAAUGGUGUAGCUAAGAGAAAGAAUCAAACGAUUCUUGACAUGGCCAGAAGUCUACUCAAAGCAAAGAAGCUGCCCAAACAAUACUGGGCUGAAGCUGUAUCAUGUGCAGUGUAUCUACUGAAUCGCUGCCCAACCAGAAGUUUGCAAGCUGUCACUCCAGAAGAAGCAUGGAGUGGUCACAAACCAAGUGUUACUCAUCUACGAGUCUUUGGUUGUGUGGCAUAUGCAAAGAUCCCAGAUGCAAGAAGGACCAAACUCGAUGAUAAAAGCGAGAAAUGCAUCUUUGUCAGAUACGGUGAGAGAAGGAUGGGAUACAAGCUGUAUAAUCCCAUCACAAAGAACGUAAUUAUGAGUAGAGAUGUUAUCUUUGAAGAAGAUAAAACUUGGCAAUGGAAGGAUGACCAAGAAGCAAUCAGAUGGAUCAACAUUGAUUUGAUCCUUGAAGAUGAAGUGGAAGUACCACCAGUACUUGCAGAAGGUCCGAUAUUACCGGCAGAUGAGCCACAAAGUCCGGUAUACAGAUUCCCUGUAUUCAACAGGAGAAACACACCAGAAUCAUCAUCAGCAUUCUCAUCAGAAAGACCAAGAAGGAUGAGAAAUCUAGACGAGUUGUACGAUGCUACUCAAGUCAUGGAAGAUACAACUCUAUUUUGUUUCUUUGCAGAUAGUGACCCCCUUAGCUUCAAUGAAGCUAUCACAGAAAAGAAGUGGAUAGAAGCAAUGGAUGAAGAAAUACAUGCCAUUGAGAAGAAUGAUACCUGGAAGCUGACUUAUCUACCAGAAAACAAGAAAGCAAUAGGUGUCAAAUGGGUCUAUAAAACAAAGAAGAAUGCAAAAGGAGAAGUGCAAAGAUACAAAGCAAGAUUAGUAGCAAAAGGCUACAAACAGAGAGAAGGCAUUGACUAUGGAGUAGUAUUUGCUCCAGUAGCCCGGCUAGAGACAAUCAGACUGAUGAUCUCACUAGCUGCACAACAUAGAUGGAAGAUCUAUCAACUCGAUGUGAAGUCAGCAUUUCUAAAUGGCUUCCUAGAAGAAGAGAUCUAUGUUGAACAACCACUUGGAUACAUCAAAGCUGAAAAUGACGGCAAAGUAUACAAGUUGAAGAAAGCCCUCUACGGUUUGAAGCAAGCUCCGCGUGCUUGGAAUACCAGAAUUCACAGGUAUUUUCAAGAUAAUGGAUUUGAAAAAUGUCCAUAUGAACACGCAAUAUAUGUGAAGAAAGAAACAGAUGGCAGCAUAUUAUUUGCAUACCUAUAUGUUGAUGAUUUGUUAUUCACCGGCAACAACCCUACCAUGUUUGAAGCCUUCAAGAAAAGCAUGGUACAGGAUUUUGAGAUGACAGAUAUUGGUCUGAUGGCACACUUUCUUGGCUUAGAAGUGGUUCAGAAAGAAGAAGGGAUUUUUGUAUCCCAAAGCAGUUAUGCCAAAGACAUUCUUGAAAGGUUCAAGAUGGAAAGCUGCAAUCCGGUAUCAACUCCAGUUGAGAAUGGAGUAGAACUGAGGAAGAGUAAAGUUGGAAAUGUUGAUCCAACUUACUUCAAAAGCUUAGUAGGAAGCUUAAGGUACUUGACAUGUACCAGACUGGAUAUACUCUACGGAGUUGGUCUUAUCAGCAGAUACAUGGAGACACCAGACCAGUCUCACUUGAAUGCAGCCAAGAGAAUUCUUCGCUACAUCAAAGGCACAAUAAAUGAAGGUAUGUUUUACACCUCAAGCAAAAACUUCAAUCUUGUUGGCUACUCGGAUAGUGAUUGGGGUAGAGAUCUGGAUGAAAGGAAAAGCACAACAGGGUUUGUCUUUUUCAUGGGAAAUACAUCUUUCACAUGGUCAUCCAAGAAGCAAUCGAUAGUAACGUUAUCAAGCUGUGAAGCUGAGUAUGUUGCUGCCAACUCAGCUGUAUGCCAUUUAAUAUGGUUAAGGAACAUGCUGAAGCAUUUGGGAUUUCCUCAAGAAAAUCCUACAGAGAUUUAUAUCGAUAAUUGAUCAGCGAUUGCAUUGGCAAAGAACCCGGUGUAUCAUGAACGAAGUAAACACAUUGAUACACGUCAUCACUUUAUCCGAGAGCAUGUAAAGAACAAAGAAGUCGAGCUGAUAUCCUGCAAGACAAAUGAUCAAGUUGCAGAUAUCUUUACAAAGCCAUUGAAGGGAGAAAUAUUUAUCAGACUGAAGUUCAUGCUUGGCAUGACAUCCCUCGAUUGAGUUUAAAGGGGGGAUUUGUUGUAUUAAACUCAAUCAAUCUAGAAGGUCAAGGAAGGGAACCACCACUUGCAGCCACCAGCUGUCACCGCCCAGCCACCACUUGCAACCGCCCAGCCGCCAGCCGCCAGCUGUAUGCCGCCAGCCGCCUUCACACUUGAAGGUUGAAAUAUCUUGUUUUGAAUUCGUGUAUAAAUAGGUAGCUCAGUGGAUGUUAUUCUGUGUGGAAAGAGAAGAAAGAAACACUAGAGAGAAAGAGAGAGGGAGUGUAUUCAAAGCUUUUGUUUAAUCUUUGUAAGCUUUUUAUUGUUGAAAUAAAACAGUGUUUUAUACCCUCUGAGUGUUUCAAAGCCACCACCAGUGGUUUCUCCCACCAACACUCAAAACUUGAGAGCCUCCCAGAAAUCACAGUGCCUAUGGAAUCUUUGCAACAUCUUUACUUGAGUAAAACAGGCAUUAAAGAGAUACCCUCAUCAUUUAAGCAUAUGAUAUCUUUGAUAACUCUAAAAUUAGAUGGAACGCCUAUUAAAGAGCUACCCUUGUCAAUCAAAGAUAAGGUAUGUUUGGAAUAUCUGACUUUGCAUGGAACACCUAUUAAAGCGUUACCUGAGCUUCCCCCUUCGCUGAGGUUUCUAACAACACAUGACUGUGCAUCACUAGAAACCGUGAUAUCAAUCAUCAAUAUCAGCAGUUUAUGGUUUCGAAGGGAUUUUACAAAUUGCUUCAAAUUGGAUCAGAAACCACUGGUAGCAGCAAUGCAUUUGAAAAUUCAGGUAUCUCUCUUUAUUUCUUCUCUCUUUCUUGCUUGCUUCAUCACAUUUUUGAAAUGUGACUUUUGUGUUACAGUCCGGAGAGGAGACCCCACAUGGCACAAUUCAAAUGGUUCUACUGGGGAGUGAAAUUCCAGAAUGGUUCGGUGACAAAGGAAUUGGAUCUUCACUCACCAUACAGUUGCCCUCAAAUUGUCAUCUUCUCAAGGGAAUUGCUUUCUGCCUUGUCUUUCUACUCCCUCUUCCAUCCCAGGACAUGCCUUGUGAAGUCGAUGAUGAUUCUUAUGUUCAUGUAUAUUUUGAUUGCCAUGUUAAGAGUAAAAACGGUGAGAGUGAUGGUGGUGAUGAAAUCGUCUUUGGUUCCCAGGAAAGACGUGCUCUAUUAUAUUUAUUGGAGACAUGUGACUCAGAUCACAUGUUUCUACACUACGAGCUCGGUUUGGUAAAUCAUUUGCGUAAAUAUUCUGGCAAUGAAGUUACAUUUAAAUUCUACCAUGAAGUGUACAACCAGGGGAGGAAGUUAGGUCAUGAGAUCCGAAAGCCUUUCAAGUUGAAAAACUGUGGGGUGUAUCUGCACUUUGAUGAAAAUCUACCGGCGGACACGGAUCUUCCUUAACAAACAAAAGUUCAGAAGAAAAUUGAGGGAGAAAUAGAAGAAAUUGAAAGGGUUAGAGAGUUCUGUAAUUACUGCAAAUUGUUCUUCAAUUAUUACAUGGUUUUCAAGAUAGCUGUAAAUAUUGUUCUUCCCUUGCAAUUGACUAACGAACAAUCUCUCUGUUAUUCAACUAAUUCCUCAACUAACUGUAACAACCAUCUAACUAAUGAAUGUUUUGGAUCUUUGAUUUAUAUUUACUAACCAAAUUACAUAAACUAAAACACAAGAAAAACAGUAAGUACAAGAAACAAAAUUCAAUCGAAUUCAAGAGUUCAUCUAAAUAUUUUUUAAAGGUUUCGAUGAUCUUAUUUGAUGACAAAAUAAAAAUUAAAUGAGUAAGAGUUAACCUCCUACAAUGAUAAAUAAAAUAAAAAUUUGAAGUUCAAUUACCAACAAAUCAAACAUUGAAUGAUAGAUUGAAUAAAAAAAUAAUAAUGUUAAACACAACCUAACUCGAGUCAACAUAUCAAAUUCAUGACUCUGUCAUGAGAUCAUGAUAACUCUGUAUAGAAAAAAUUGAAUAAAACAAAGGAGGUUAACUCUCAAGCAAACUAAAUAAUAAAAGGUAAGAAUUUAAAAAAAAUAAUCAAUUAAAAAAUAUUUUAGAAAAAUCAAGUCAAUCCGGGUUAACUUGACUAACUCGUGACCCUAAGUUAUGAGAUCAGAAUAACCCCACAAAAACAAAUACGAAGAUCAUGACCCAAUAACCUAAUGUCAAAUGAUAAGAUUGAAAAAAAAUAUCAUUUAAAAAAAAACAAAAAAAAAAGAUCAAAGUUAAAUAGGGCCAAUAUUCUAAACACGUGACCCAAAUAAUGAAACCGAUAUUACUCCAUAAAAGAUAAGUACACAAAAAUUAUAAAGCAAUAUUCUUAAUCAUUCAUGAUUAAAAAAACAAAACAAAUAGCAAUCAAAACAUUAAAGACAAAAUUUAAAAUAAAAAUAAAAUAAAAUAAUAAGGGACUAAAUUGAAAAAUAAAAUAAAUCAAGAAAAUAAUAAAGAAAAUAGCAAUCAAAAGAAUGAGUACCAAAUUAGAUACGAAAAUUAAAUAAAGUAAAAUGCAGAUGAAUGAAAUUGAAAAAUAAAUAAAAAUAACAACAAUGUAAGUAAUGAGGACUAAAUUGGAUAAAAAAAUCAAAUGAAAUAAAAUGUUAAGGGAUGAAAAUAAAUAAAUAAAUAACUUUAAGAAACAUUAAAAGAAAAAUAAAUAAUAAUUAAAAUAAUAAAGAUAAAAUUAAUACAAAUACAAACUCAAUAUAAUACAUUUAAUUUUUUAAAAAACUGACAUGAAACCCGAAGCUGGAGGAGAUAAAAAAGAGAGGUAAAGAAAACAAAUUAUUGGAGUCAAACUAUUAUACCGUCAUGCAGACGUAUCUGACUAUAAAAAAAUGACAUCGAUAUGCUUUAAUACAGUUGUAAAAAGCAGUGUUGGUAUGCAGAAAAAUGUCCAAAAAAACAUGGAUGCUUUUAAGAUGCAAAAGUCUCUAAUUCACUUUGAUUAUAACUAAAAAUUUUACUUUAAUUAUUAUACCGAAACACCCAUGAAACCUAGUUUUUAAAAUUUUACUUUAAAGAAUAUUUGAAACAUUCCUCAGUGCUUCUAAAAUGGUUAAAAAUUAAUUUGUCUCUAAUCAUUAUGACCAUUAAUUAUCGAAAGCCACCGUUGAGACAAGAAAUACAUAAUUGCGCAAUGUCAAGGCAACUUUGCUUCCCAAACACGCUGCCCAAGCACUUGCCUGGAAGAGUCGAGGUCAAGUCGUCGUCCCCAUCAAAAUGGCUAUAAAUUUUCAUGAAUAAGAGUUCAAUUGUUUUGAGCGUAUCUAAGUAGCUUAGAGCCUGUUUGGCUCUGCGGUUGAACCUGUUUUUGACCGAAUUUCAAUUUAUUUAUUUUUUGUUAAAAUUGAGUGUGGUUUGUACUUUUUGGAUCGUUUUGAUGUGCUGAUAUCAAAAAUGAUUUUUAAAAAAUAAAAAAACAUCAUUGUCAUGUAUUUCGGCACGAAAAGCUAUUUGAAAAGCAACCACUACCACACUGACAAACAGGCUCUAAGCUACUUAAGAGGAAAGGUUUAUUUUCAUUUAUAACAUAAUCAUCUCAAUCGUAUACCAUCAGCUUUUGUAGGCUUUAGGUUUGAGAGAGUUACAAGUAAAUAACAACAGCCUAUUAGUUUAACCCUACACUAACACUAGAUUAAUUUAAUUUUUUAUCUGAUUAAUAAUUUAAAUCUUAAAUUUUCAUGAAUAAGGUUAAUCUUCAUCUGAUUGAAUUUAAAUCUAAUCCAAACUAAGGUCAUUGGAUCAAGGUUUUAAGAAAAAGCAUUUCUUUCCUCUUUCAUUUUUCUGCUUAAGGUUGGAUGGAGGCCAAAAAUAACAUGCAAGCUCACAUCACGAAAAUGGUGGGGGUAAAAGAAUUCUAUCAAGUUGAAUUUUUUAAAUUUUAAAUUAUUAUUUUUUAUAUCAUUUUGAUGUGCUGAUAUCAAAAAUUAAUUUAAAAAAAAAUAUUAUUUUGAUGUAUUUUCAAGUUAAAAACACUUUAAAAAUAAUUGUUACUACAAUAACAAACAGUUUCUCUGACAAAUUCUUUUCAAUCAGAUCAUGAUAGCCAUUAUAAUAUAAUGUUAGGCAAAAAUGUCAUCGACAUGCAAAAAUCAUAGUUAUUAAACUCAGUCUGGGAGUUGACCCGGUCAAGGGGCCGAGUUGCGGGUUUCAUGGGUCAACUUCCUUCAACCCGGAAAAAUUAAAAAAAAAGUAAAGUUUUAAGAACUUCUUUAUUUUAUUUUUAUUUUAUUUUAUUUUGGAGUAAUACAGUUAUUUCUGUUAUGAAAAUGUUAAAAAGACCAAAACACUCGUGGGUAUUAGUUUUAAGAACUUUGUUUUAAGAAUAUUUAAAUUAUUUUUUUGUACUUUUAAAUUAUUUUGUCUUUGAUAAUUACAACAAUCACAAUGAUAAAUAAAUCUUAUAAAAAAAAUUCAAUAACCAGUUAAAUGAUAAUAAAAAAUUAUUUUACUGUUUCUUCUUCUUCUUCUUUUUCUCGUCAACAGUCAUGUUAACGAGAAACACGUAAUUUCCAAACUCAGCUUCCCGAACACGCUGCCCAAGCACUCGCCAGGAAGACUACUUCGUCGUCCCCGUCAAUAUGUAGAAGAGGAUUGGCCCCAUCCCCCGUCCCUUCCUCUCUCCUUCAAGACGACUUCGUUUUCUUCUUCUUCUUCUUCUUCUUCACAAUAAAUAAAUAUAUAUAAAAGGAAAAAGGAAAAGGCAUCUGCCGAUUUAUUUGAAUAGAUUGUUUGUAAUGAGGUGGAAGAAGGCAUGUAAAAAGAAGAAGUAAUUAUAAUUACAUGGCUGCAUGCCAAUUAUAUUGCCAAAAUUAAGCAGUAAACAGAACCACGAUUGUGAUUUUGAAUCGCUUUUAUAUUAAAAUCGUAGUUUAAAAUAGCAGUUUUUUUAAAAACUAUGUUCUUUUUUAAAUAAAAUUAAACCAUAUUAUAUAUUUCUCUAACUGUAUCAAUUUGCUUUUAAAAAAUUCCUAUUAUUGGGGCAGAGAGAGUAACAAGUUUUUCCGAAUGAAAUCAUUAUAAUAAUCACUAUAAUAUAAUGUGAAGUCAACAAAGUCGUAGUACGUGCAAACAAGACAUUAAGCCUUUUUCAACACAGGAAAUUUCCAAGUAGAUGUGCACCCUCUGUAACGUCCGAGAAAAUCGUAGGCUUACUGGGUUUAUUUUCAGGUUCUUAUAUCAUCAUUGCAUGGUAUGUGUAGAUGUCUUUGUUAUUCAAGACUUAAAUUUUGUGGGAGUAAUGCAUUUGUAAUUUUAUUUUCUUAUGUAUAUUAGUUUAAUAUUACCAUUGAUAGCAUUGAUUGUUCAUAGUUCAUUCUUUCAUCAGUUGAAGUCUCAAAAUAUGUUUAUAGUUCUAGUCAGAACUAAGGUUUUAAGAAAGAGUAUUUCUUUCCUUUUUUGUUUUUCCGUAUAAGGUUGGAUGCAGGCGUAAAAUGACAUGCAAGCUCACAUCAUGAAAAUGGUGAGGGUCAAAAACAUUCUAUCAAGUUGCCAAAGCAGGCCCAAAAUCACCAGUUGUUGUAAACUGUGUUCAUUUUCCGGCCUUGCAGCAGUGCUAUGACCAUUAUCGAAAGCCACCGUUCAGACAAGAAAUACGUACUUUCCAGGAAAAACUCAAUGUCAAGGCAACUCAGCUUCCCAAACACACUUCCCAAGAUGUGCAAACACUUGAUGCCUUCCUACCAAAUCACAGAAAGAAAAAACAAAUAACAAGACAUUAAGCCUUUUUCAACACAGGAAAUUUCCAAGUAGAUGUGCACCCUCUGUAACGUCCGAGAAAAUACAUGGAUUUGAUUUUUUUUUAUUUUAAAUUACUUUUUUAUUUUUUUUUAUUAUUUUAAUGUAUUGAUAUUAAAAAUAAAUUUAAAAAAAUUAAAAAAUAUAUAUUAUUUUGAUGCAUUUCUAAGUGAAAAUUAUUUAAAAAAAUAAUUAUUACCACAAUACCAAACAGGUUCUCUAACAAGUUCUUCUCCAUCAAAUCAUCAUAACCAUUAUAAUAUAAUGUAAAGGCAAAAAAGUUUUGGCAUGCGCAAACACUUGAAAUAAAAAUAUAGAAGGUAUUUGUGAGUGUUGUAAUAAUUAAUUUUUAAAAUGUGUUUUUGCAUGAAAAUAAAUCAAGAUAAUGUUUUUUCACUUUUAAAGAAUUAUUUUUAACCAUUAUAAUAUAAUGUGAAUGCAAAAACUUCUACAGCAUGCGCAAAUACUUGGAUUGAAGAUAUAAAGGAUGUUUAUGAGUAUAGUAGCAGUUGAUUUUUAAAAUGUGUUUUGCAUGAAAAUACAUCAAGAUAAUGUUUUUUUUAUUUUUAAAUAAUUAUUUUUAACACCAACACAUCAAGAAAAAAAAAUUAAUCUAAAAUAAAAUAUAAAAUAAUUUCAAAAUUUAUUAAAACAUUGAUUACAUAGCAAAGACAAACAAAAGCCUAAAUGCCCUUUCCUACCGCAUCACAAAUAAUAAGACUUUGAAGCCUUUUGUGCAUGGAAAAUUUCCAGGAAGCUAACAAUGUGCACCCUCCGUAAUGCCGAGAGAAAAUACUUGAAAUUUGAAUUUUGUUUUUUUUUUACUUUAAACUUUUUUUUAUAUUUUAAUUAUAUUAUUUUGACGUUCUGAUAUUAAAAAUAAAUUUAAAAAAAUAAAAAAUAUUAUUUUAAUAUAUUUCUAAUAAAAAAAUAAUUUACAAAAUAAUCACUAGUACAAUCAAAUACUUGUAGUGAAGAUAUAGAAAAUGUUUAUGAGUAUAGUAAUAAUUAUUUUUUAAAGUGUUUUUUAUUUAAAGAUAUAUUAAAAUAAUAUAUUUUUUAUUUUUAAAGAAUUAUUUUUGACACCGACAUAUUAAAACAAACAAAAAAAAACUAAAAAAAUAAUUAAUCUCAAAUAAAAAAUCAAAAAAAUCAAAAUUUAUAAAAACAUUGAUUACAGGCAAAGAUAAAAGCGCCUUUCCUUCCAUGUGCAUGGCAGCUCCGUUGGGCUGCUAGGGAAAUUAUAAUGUAUUAAAAUAUUAUUUUUAUUUUUUAAAUAAUUAUUUUUAAUUUUAGUAUAUCAAAAAAAUUUAAAAAUUUAAAAAUAUUAAAUAAAAAAUUAAUUUUUUAUAAAACACAGUAUAUUUCUAAAAAGUGCUCUGACAGAUUUUGAUAUGACCAUUAUCAAAAGCAACCGUUCCUUAAAGAACAAAGACAAGAAAUUCGUAAUUUCCAGGAAAAUUAUAAAAGAAUUUGAAGUAAAAAUUAAUAGACUAAAGAAUGAUCGAUGUGGGACACACAGAAGUGUUUAGUGUUUUAAAAAAUAUAUAUAAUAAAAAAGUUAAAGAGAAGAUCUGCUACUCCGCCAAGUGAAUAGCUAAUACAUUUGAAAUAUUAAAAAAGGUAUCUAUCACAGCUGUGAUAUGAUAAACAAGAAUAUAUAUAUUUUUUUAUUUUUAAAAAUUAUUUUUAUAUUAGUAAAUUAAAAUAAUAAAAAAAAUUAAUUUAAAAAAAAAACAAAAUUUAUAAAAACACUGUCAAUACCAUAAAAACAAAACAACGUAUAAAUGCCUUUUCCUAUCACAUCACUUUGUAACUGGGGAAUUUCCAGGAAAUCAACAAUGUGCAAUCUUGUAAUCUUCUAAGAAAAUACUUCCAUUAUUACAAAUUAUACAUACGCCUAAGGCAGGGUCUUAAACACGUAAAGCCUAAGCUGCUGAUUCAAAGUAAAUUAAGAUAUGAAGGGAAUUUCCAGGAAAUCAACAAAUGGUUACUUCCGUAAUGCCUAAGAAAAUACUUGGAUUUGAUGCCUAUAUUUAUACAUAUGCCUAAGGCAGGGUCUUAAACACGUAAAGCCUAAGCUACUGUUUCAAAAUCAGCCUCAUCUUUUUUCCUUGAGUUACUUCCGUUCUCUCCCUCCAGACCUCCCUUACCACCAGAGUCUAAUUACUCUUGUUUCCUCGACUGUUUCUCCACAAAACAAUGGCGGUGUUUUUCUUGUUUCUCUCUAUCUUUAUGUUUGCUUAUAUCUGGAGAUUCAUCAUACGAAACCGUCAUAUUUCUCCAUCGCCAUCUACUCCUUCCACCUUAACCACCGCCCAGCCACAAGUAAUUAAAUAUCAUGAUGUCUUCCUUAGUUUCAGGGGAGAAGACACCCGUGUUGGUUUUACCAGCCACCUCCAUGCUGCUUUGGACCGGAAACAAAUCCUAACUUUCAUAGAUUAUCAGCUUGUGAGAGGAGAUGAGAUCUCGGCAUCACUUCUGAGAACAAUUGAAGAGGCCAAGCUUUCUGUGAUUGUUAUUUCUGAAAACUAUGCAUCUUCCAAAUGGUGCUUAGAGGAGCUUGCAAAGAUUAAUAUUGAGCGUAGAAGAAAUAAUAGACAGAUAGUUAUUCCAGUAUUCUACAAGGUGGAUCCAUCCCAUGUAAGAAAUCAAACAGGAAGCUUUGGGGAUGCAUUUGCUAGACUUAUAAGGAAUAAAGCUCUGACGUUGGAAGAAGUGCAGAGCUUCAGAGAAGCUUUGACGGAUGCAGCCUCUCUAUCUGGAUGGAACUUAGGGAAUUCUGAGUAAGCUCUUGAAAUAUAUCCCAUUAGAAAAUAUUCGUUCAUUUGUUGAGGAUUUGAAAUUUAAUUUAAAAUUAUUGAGAAUGAGAGCUCUGAGAAUUCAUAUUUAUUUUAUUUGAUUUUGAAAACGUUGUAGCGAAGCACUUGGAUAGAUAUUACGUGGUUGGUUGUUUUGUGUUUUAAAAUUGUUUUUUAAAAAAACUUUAUUUUAUUUUAGUGUUUUUAUAUUAUUUGUGUUUAUAUUAAAAAAUAUUUUAAAAAAUAAAAAAUUAUUAUUUAAUAUAAAAUGUUUGUAUAGAUAUUAAGUGGUUGUUUGUUUUGUGUUUUAAAAUGUUUUGUAAAAAAUUUAAAUUGUUUUUAUUUUAAAUUAAUUUUUUUAGUAUUUUUAAAUUAUUUUAAUAUGUUUAUAUUAAAAAUAAUUUUGAAAAAAAAAUUAUUUGUAGCGAAAUGCUUGUAUAAAUAUUAAGGCUUGUAUUGAUAUUAAGUGGUUGUUUGUUUUUAUAUUUCAAAAUGUUUUUUUUUAAUUAUUCUUUUUAUUUUAAAUAUUUUUUUAGUCUUUUAAGAUUAUUUUGAUGUAUUUAUAUAAAAAAUAAUAUUUUUUUUUAUCCUUACGGUAAAUUUUACAAGGACAGACAAUGUUUUCUUUUGUCAUGAAAUAAUAUUCUAUUUAUUUGAGGUGAAAAGGAUAAUGCCAUAUUAAAAAAUAAUAUUGAUAGAGAUGAUUCUAUUAUGAUAAAUUAAGAUGAUAUGAGAAAACAUCUUAUGCAUUUGCAUUUAAUUGAUUUUCUUAGAUAAACCCCGAUUACAUGUAAAAGUGAUUAAUAUAGAAUGUCAUGUAUUUUUAGCACUAUCCAUUGCCAAUGAUGAUCGAUUCAUGUGUUACAUUAGCACUAUCCAUUGCCGAUGAUGAUGCUCAAUUACUCGUACGUGUCUACUCUGUUUAUAUGUUUCUUCUUGUCCGGUCCAUUUUGACUAACAAUUAUGUGUGUUCUUCUUGUUUGUCAGUCUCGAGUCUGAAUUUAUUGAGAAAAUCGUUGGAGAUGUUUUGGAAAAAUUGCAUGCCAUGUCUUCAAGUCACACUACGGGUCUAUUUGGAAUUGAUGUUCGUGUUAGCAAAGUUGAGUCUUUGUUAAAUAUAAAUUCUCCAGAUUUUCGCAUUGUAGGGAUAUGGGGAAUGGGUGGUAUCGGUAAGACAACGAUUGCUAAAGUUGUGUGCGACAAGGUUCGUUCUCGAUUUGAUGGAAUCUUUUUUGGAAACUUUAGGCAACAAUCUGAUUUGCAAAGAAGCUUUCUUUCACAGCUGCUUGGCCAAGAAAUUCUGAACAGGGGCCUCUUGAGUUUUCGAGAUAUUUUUGUGAGGAAUAGACUUUGUCGAAUAAAGGUUUUUAUUGUUAUGGAUGAUGUGGAUAAUUCAAUGGCUUUGGAAGAAUGGAGAGAUUUGCUUGAUGGACGAAACAGUUCAUUUGGUCCGGGCAGUAAAGUUCUCAUAACAAGUAGGGACAAGCAGGUGCUUAAGAAUGUAGUAGACCAAACAUACAAGGUUGUGGGGUUGAACUAUGAAGACGCUAUUCAACUCUUUAGCUCAAAAGCCUUGAAGAAUUGCACCCCCACAAUUGAUCAAAGAGACUUGAUAAAACAGAUUGCAAGGCAUGUACAAGGCAAUCCGUUGGCCCUUAAAGUUUUGGGUUCCUCUUUCUAUGGUAAAAGCAUAGAAGAAUGGCGCAGUGCAUUGAAUAAACUAGCUCAGGACCCCCAAAUCGAAAAGGCGUUGAGAAUUAGUUAUGAUGGGUUGGAUUCAGAACAAAAAUCCAUAUUUCUUGACAUAGCACAUUUCUUCAUAAUUUGGAAGCAAGACAAAGCAACAAGAAUAUUAGAUUGUGUUUAUGGUCGGUCUGUGAAGUUCGAUAUAAGCACGCUCAUUGAUAAGUGUCUCAUAACUACUGAUAACAGACUUAACAGUGUUGAUGGCAAUGAAAGGCUAGAAAUGCAUGAUUUACUAGAAGAAAUGGCAUUUAACAUUGUUCGUGCAGAAUCUGAUUUUCCUGGCGAACGGAGCAGGUUAUGUCAUCCUCCUGAUUUCGUUCAAGUAUUGGAGGAAAAUAAGGUUAAAGCUAAAGCCAUUAACUGUCGUUCCUGUAUUUGCUCAAAAGUUGAUGUGUUUGAGUAGAUUGUAUUAUUGUUUGUUUAUUCUUUAUUCUUGUUUAACAGGGAACUCAAAAAAUUAAAGGCAUAUCUUUGGAAGUGUCCAUGUUAUCGAGACACAUACACUUGAAAUCUGAUACCUUCGCAAUGAUGGAUGGUCUUAGAUUUCUCAAUUUCGAUCACGAUGGUUCCUCCCAAGAAUAUAAAAUGCACCUUCCUCCUACUGGCCUCGAAUAUCUUCCUAAUGAGCUGAGAUAUCUGCGAUGGGAUGAAUUCCCUUCGAAAUCCUUGCCGCCAUCUUUUCGUGCUGAACACCUUGUGGAGCUUCGCCUACCCAAAAGCAAGCUUGUAAGACUUUGGACAGGAGUAAAGGUAUGAUUUAAUAGCUACAGAUUAUGAUCAGAAAUAUGAAGUUGGAGGUGCUAACUUUCUAAUUAUGCCUUUUUAUGUUGACAGGAUGUUGGAAAUUUAAGAACAAUCGACCUAUCUGAAUCUCCAUAUUUGACGGAAUUGCCAGAUCUAUCAAUGGCCAAAAAUUUAGUGUGCUUAAGGCUUGGGAGGUGUCCAAGCUUAACCGAGGUUCCGUCAUCUCUUCAAUAUCUUGACAAGCUGGAAGAAAUUGAUCUCAAUCGUUGCUAUAAUCUUAGAAGUUUUCCAAUGCUUGAUUCAAAGGUUCUCAGAAAACUUUCUAUAGGUUUGUGCCUAGAUUUGACCACGUGUCCAACGAUUUCACAAAAUAUGGUAUGCUUACGGUUGGAACAAACUUCAAUCAAAGAAGUUCCACAAUCAGUUACUGGCAAGUUGAAAGUCCUUGAUCUAAAUGGUUGCUCAAAGAUGACCAAGUUUCCAGAGAUUUCAGGGGAUAUAGAACAAUUACGUCUAAGCGGAACUAUUAAAGAGAUGCCCUCAUCAAUCCAGUUUCUCACAAGACUCGAAAUGUUGGAUAUGAGUGGUUGCUCAAAACUUGAGAGCUUCCCAGAAAUCACAGUGCCUAUGGAAUCUUUGAGGUAUCUUUUCUUGAGUAAAACAGGCAUUAAAGAGAUACCUUCGAUAUCAUUUAAGCAUAUGACAUCUUUGAAUACACUAAAUUUAGAUGGAACGCCACUUAAAGAGCUACCCUCAUCAAUUCAGUUUCUCACAAGACUCUACGAGUUGAAUUUGAGUGGUUGCUCAAAACUUGAGAGCUUCCCAGAAAUCACAGUGCCUAUGAAAUCUUUGGAGGUUCUUAACUUGAGUAAGACCGGCAUUAAAGAGAUACCCUCAUCAUUAAUUAAGCAUCUGAUAUCUUUGAGGUGUCUAAAUUUAGAUGGAACGCCUAUUAAAGCGUUACCUGAGCUUCCCUCUUUGCUGAGGAAGCUAACAACACGUGACUGUGCAUCACUAGAAACCACGAUAUCAAUCAUAAAUUUCAGCAGCUUAUGGUUUGGAUUGGAUUUUACAAAUUGCUUCAAAUUGGAUCAGAAACCGCUGGUAGCAGUAAUGCAUUUGAAAAUUCAGGUAUCUCUCUAAACCCCCUUGUCUUUCUUUCGUCUCUCUUUCUUGCUUGCUUCAUCACAUUUUCGAAUGUGACUUUUGUGUUACAGUCCGGAGAGGAGAUCCCAGAUGGCAGUAUUCAAAUGGUUCUACCGGGGAGUGAAAUUCCAGAAUGGUUCGGUGACAAAGGAGUUGGAUCUUCACUCACCAUACAGUUGCCCUCAAAUUGUCAUCAGCUCAAGGGAAUUGCUUUCUGCCUUGUCUUUCUACUCCCUCUUCCCUCCCAGGACAUGCCUUGUGAAGUCGAUGAUGAUUCUCAAGUUCUUGUAUUUUUUGAUUACCAUGUUAAGAGUAAAAACGGUGAGCAUGAUGGUAAUGAUGAAGUCGUCUUCGGUUCCCGUCUUCGCUUCGCUCUAUUAUUUUCCUUGAAGACAUGUGACUCAGAUCACAUGAUUCUACACUACGAGCUCGAAUUGGUAAAACAUUUGCGUAAAUAUUCUGGCAAUGAAGUUACAUUUAAAUUCUACCACCUUGAAGUGGACGCCAGUGGGAGGAAGUUAGGUCGUGAUAUCCGAAGGCCUUUCAAGUUGAAAAGCUGGGGGGUGUAUCUGCACUUUGAUGAAAAUCUACUGGCGUACACGGAUCUUCCUUAACAAACAAAAGUUCAGAAGAAAAUUGAGGGAGAAAUAGAAGAAAUUGAAAGGGUUAGAGAGUUCUGUAAUUAUUGUAUAUUUUGUAACUCUUUAAAUAAACUCAAAACUAGCCUAGCAAACUAUGAAAUAUGAAAAUAAAAAUAAAAAAAUAACAAAAUUAGCUCAAACAAUAUUUUUUGAACCUAAUUUAGAAAAAUUAUAGAUCUCAGCUGAUUAUAAAUAAACUCAAAAAUCUAGAUUAUAACUAACCAACUUCAUUUUAAAACUGGAUCUUGACAAAAUCUAAGGAGUCUGAAAGUUAUAACUAAUUCCUCAACUACCUGUAAGUAUUCAAGAUAUUGUUAUUGCAUAUUUUAUAACUCUUUAAAUAAACUUAAAACUAAGAAAUAUGAAAAUAAAAAUGAAAAGUAACAAAAUUAAUUCCGAAUUUAGAAGAAUUGGGGACCUUUACAGCUAACCAACCUCAUUAUAAAACUGGAUCCAUAGAAUCUCUUGACUGUGUUUACCAGAUUGAUUACUCGCCACAACCUAGACCUCUUCUUAAAUUUAGCCAAGUGAUCUUCUUAGAUUUAAUGCCGCCUCCAAUAAUUAUACACCACACUCCAAUAAAUGCCGCCUUGAUGCCUAUGCUUCUGAAAGAUCUACUUUCUCAUUUAAUGGAGUCACUGAUUCAGGUGAUGGAUUCGGAACUUCAGUUUUAGAUGUUUGGGAUUCAUGCUUUGCAGCAGCUUGCAGCACCCGGUUUUGAACAUCUGAAGAUGAAGGUGAUGUAGGUAAACCAAUGCGGUUGUUUUCCAGUUUUCCUGCUGCCCAUGAAAAUGCCUGGACUCCAAGUCUAACAGGAGAGAGAAAACACCUUCAAAGAAGCGUUUGAAAUCCUAGUUAAUCAAGAUCUCAACAAUCCAAAAACUUGGUUAAACAUGAUCCAACUACUGAAAAGAAUCCAACUGUGAAAAUGAUUAAAUAACUUCUAAACGUCUGGUGGAGGUUAGGAAAUAUGAACCUUGAUAAUGUCAUAGGCAGUUUGCUUAUCAACACGACUCAGACUUCUGACAUGAUCAGAACAUGGUCAAGAACCUAGUGUUGAAAGAACAUUUAGACAAAGAAGAGAUUUGCUAUAUAUAAAUUUUUCCGUGCCCUUUACUGUGCAAACACCAAGGUUCAUUUUGUUAAUAAAAACUCAUCGUCCCAGUAAACAUGUGAUUUGGGUUGCUAAAUAAUGUUGUACUAACAUAUGACACCUAUCUAUCUAACAUGAUACUAGGUGCGUCUUAUAUAAUUCAUUGAACAUGAAUAAACAUAGACUUGAUUUCAGACCUGGUUUCCAUUAUGAUUUACAAAAUUGUGCCAAUUACACCAUAAAUACACAUCUUGCUUAAAAUCUUCAGGGCCAUUGUAAGAAGCAACCCGCUGAUAAAUAGUCUGGCAGAGUGUGAGAAACCAAUAAUUAGAGAAACUCAAGGUUCACUUAACUAAAUUUAGCAAUGACAUAAACCUUUCCCUAGGACACAUGCAAAAUAGACAAAGGGAAUCUAGCUUAAUGGUCGUAUACAUGCUAUUUUCAUGGAUUACAUCAAAGGAUCUGAGAAUUAGCACAAUAUCAGAAUGUGUGAAGUUUGUUUUAAUCAUUAUCAGCUUACAAAUCAACAUCUAUGUGUGUGUGAAAGAAACAUUAACCAGAGCACUAUAACAAAUGAAAGUGUACCUGACUGAGGCCAAUGAUGGCAAUAAAUUGUAAGGUCUUCUCCCACUCUGAAACAAAGUUCAAGCUUGGUUGGCAAGAAGAAUGUGAGGAAAGCAACAAAAAAGAAAAGAAAAAAAUAAAGAAAACCAGAAUUUAUAUCAUUGGUUCUAUAUAAUACAACUGAAGUAUUUCAAACUCUUCAACAUUUUGGGGAGUUGUUCUUGAAAAGUAAUAGAGAGCCUGUCCAUGAGGAAGAAAAUGUACAAACCUAGCAAUGCAUAUGAUGCUGCAGCAAAACCCUGUCCACAGCGUAAAUAUAGUAUAAGUAAAGGAUGCACUGGACAUUUGCAUGGUAAGCAAUAGAUAUUUAUCAAUCAUGGAUUGAUGAUUAAUGAAGACCUGAUGUAAACAGCAUGAAUAGUUCUAGUUAAUCACGUACACAUAUUUGUGGAAGCAUGUCUCUAGACCAUACAGAAGCAUACAUUCAAAACAGAGAAAUCAACCUGAAAUUAUUUUAUGUCCUUGCUACAAAAUAAAAAGAUCAUUCCCAUCCCAUAAACACGUCUCUCUAGAUACAAGAUAUCCUUUAAAACAAAAGGAUGGAUUUUGGGGAAAAGAAAUCCAAGUGUAGAAAUGAUUGAAAUAGACUAAUCAUAGUGCAGUAUCACAAAAAGCAAUCUGAUUUCUUACCACACCAUACCCAAGUGUUUGCACUGGUCAAGGUCUGAUAUCUUAUAGAAUUGCUUCAGCCUCCUGAAAUGAUGCCAAGUUGUCACAACUCACAAGUAUAUUGUGAAAAGCUUAGAUCUUGCACAAGAAAAUCAAGCACUUCCAGAAAAUACUUGUAAUUAUAAUUUGCAAUCCAUGAAAAGAAUAGCACAGAUUGACAAAGCAUAUUGAAUGUAAAUCCUACACGACCAAAUGGUCUUAGCAACAAGAAAAAUAUUGAUUGAAAUGCGAAGGUUGUUGAUUUGUAUGAAAAAGGAGACCAACCUUCCUCCCAGAUUGUAAAAUGAUCCAACAAGUCAGCUUGUUGCAUAUAUCAAAAUAACUUUCUGAGUUGUAAUGAAUCAUAUCAACUUGUUUGAUUGAAUGUUUCAAAACGUUCAUGUAGACUUGGGCUCAGAUACUUGGGACACAACCUCUUGUUGAUUUCUUACUACAUUAUCUGCACAACAACUUCAAGAGUUCUUUAAUCAGUUGCACCCAACACCUCGGAAAAUUUACGAAAACUACUGUUCAACUAACAAUCACUUCUCCAACUGAAUUCCAUAUAAUUCAAUCUGGUGCACCAAAGAAAUAAUUCAAUCUGAACCAAAAGUCUUUAACAAGAGAUGCCAAUUCUAACACCAUUAGAUUGCAUAAAGACAAAGUAAUCAUUUUUCUCAAGAAUCAACACUUGGAUACUGUGCAUAAUUUCACUUCAUAAAUCUGUGCACCGUCAUGCUUCGAAACAUAUACAAUUCCUAUGGCCUGCAUACCCAGUUUAUGGUAGCCCAUCAAUUACAUAUACACAAACACUCAGGAUGCACAUGUUCAUACAAGUGUGAUUGCACAUAGCACACUCUUUUUAUUUUUAUUUUGAAAUCUCUCUCUCUCUCUCUCUCUCUCUCUCUCUCUCUUUGCACCGUCAUGCUUCGAAACAUACACAAUUCCUAUGGCCUGCAUACCCAGUUUAUGGUAGCCCAUCAAUUACAUAUAUACAAACACUCAUGAUGCACAUGUUCAUACAAGUGUGAUUGCACAUAGCACACUCUUUUUAUUUGUUUUUGAAACAAGUCUCUCCACGUAAAUUUACACACGCACUGCACAGACACAAGUGCAUCUCAUAUGCCUCUGUGUGUGCAUGUUGUUCUAUGCUGUGUGGAUACCAUUUUGAUAGUAUCCAUUGGGCACCAAUGUGCACCCAGCAAAGAAAUUUCACUCUUUCCAUGUGUUUUUGAAACAAAUGUCAAAUUAAUCAAUUCUCUAAGUUUAUCUCAGCUGGCUGAAUAUAUUAUUGUAUAAUCUACAGCUUGUCAUUUUCCACACAUAUACUUUGAGUUGAUCGAUGGCUUUCAGCAAAUAGAAUUUUGUAUUUCUAGAAAUUUAUACUAGUUAAGAGAAUAUGCAAGUCAUGCAAUAACCUUACCUCAUUAAAUAUGGUUAGCACGGUCUCAGGUUUAAGCUCCUUGGCUUGGAUACCUUGUUUUACCCAAGACUGGAAGCCAUCUUGGACCAAGUAUGGUCUCUGUCACAUAAAAAUGCAAACAAACAAUUAGCAAUAUGAUACAAUAGGUUGUGGUUCCAGAUUAACAAUAGACUCACCUGGCAGUUCAAAUUUUCUUAUAAUGCAGGUCACAAGGUUUAAUUCUGUAAAAUUCUACUAUCUUCUGUAUCUAAAUUAUAUGAUUAGUCCAGGAAUGAACCAUGAUAUCAUCUAGAAUUCAUGCAUUUAACUUGUUUCUCUGCAAGCCAUUUACACAACAAUACAACCCAGCAAUCUAUGGAGUGAAAUAAAAGAAUAUUGAAAUUGAUUAAUACAUUGCAACUUCCCAUUCAAGCAACGUAAGGACUUUUUUUUUUUUGAGAGAGAGAGAGAGAUAUUUUAAGGACACAUGUUAGAUGUAAUACUAAUGUGCUUUCUGAAUUAUACCACUUGAGAACAACAGGGAUGAAAAUUGGGUUCUAUCUACAGCAUUUAUCAGACAGAAAAACAUUCAUAAGGAGUAAUGGUUUUUGACUUGACAACAUUGUAAAUGCACAAAAGACAUUAAUGUACUCUUCCCAAAUCUGGUUAAUAUGGAUAUUGUUAUUUGUUUCUAAGGUUACUGAUACUGAAAAACUCUCAGAAAUGUUUUUUAUCCCAAAGAAACUUGACUAAGGGAGAGUGGAUAAAUUCAUUUCACCCUUCUAGUUCCACGAUGAAUUAGAUGUUUAGGCUUUUAUGUGAUAAAAAAAAUCUUAGAGAUUCUAAAUACUUUCCUUAACCCCAAGCUUUCUCAAGGAUCUAGUGAUGCCUUUAGAACGAGAACCAUCAGCAUCCAUAACAAUUACCUGGUAAAUUUGAGACGAUGUUCCUGCUUCAGGAUUUAAACAUGGAACACUCAGGAGAUUGUGAUGUAGCAACUGUACUGCAUAUGGUAAUACCAAAACAAUUUCUUGUGUCCUCAGAGGCCACUAAUGCUAAAACACACAACAUUGAUGAAACCAAGCCAAAAUCCCCCCCCUGAGAAUUUCCUUUCUUUCUUGCACUACUCAGAAUUCUCAUUUUUCUGAAUGUCUCGAAACAAAGACGGCAUGCAUAAACAAUAGUUAUAUCGAAGCUCUUAAAACAUAAAGCUAUACCUGUACAGCUUUCAAGUUUUGAAUGACUGCAGUAGUUAUGAUGUCAUCAAGAUCUCGUCCACCCUUUAAAAGCUUCCUUACUGGGCCAUCAACCUGAAUAAAGUUGAAGAAUAUAAGACAGAGUUAUGAAAAAGGGAUACAGCCAAGCUCCAAUUCUUGUUUUAUUUUUUUUAUUGUUGGUUCAAAGAGUUAUUUGACAUUUAGAAACAAAGUAAUUGUUCUAAACUAUCAUCCUCAUACCAAAUAGCAAUACCUCUCCACUCAUAGCUUUUGAAUAGUAUUAUCAAAUAAAACCAACCUCUGGUAGAGUUACAAUUGCAUAGCGAAACCGAGCAGCUCGCCUAAGAUCAGGAAUGCCAUCUCUUUCUCUGAGAACCUUCAUAUAAACAAUGUCCACCAAGUUCAAUGCCAAGUUAAGGGGCAAAAAAAGGAAAUUAAUGAGGGUGCCAGAUUUGAGAUUUUUUUACUGUGAUGUAAAAAAUGUCUGAGCAGUCAGCUUUAGUAUCUCUCAUUGAGGUACUAAAAUUUCUAACAAAAAAGAAACUUAGGAAGAUAAAAGGCCAGAAAAUUUACUCUCUUGCCUCAGGCCGGACAUCAAUAAGUAUGGCGUCUUCCUUCCCUGCCAAGAGCUCCAAAGUUAAUUGCGGAGACAAAUCUCCAGAGUAACCACCAUAUAUCCACACCCUAUAAAAACCCCUGCACAAGUCUGAUAGAAAACUUAAGCUUCCCAUGUAAUGCAGAUUAAAUAAACAAAUCCUUCAUGCACAAAAGGACAUCCAAACCACAAAGUGGCUGAGGUUCCAAGGAAAAGAACAAAAGGCACAACUGGAUCAUUUGGAUCCAUGCCAAGACUUUUCUCCAGCCCCUCAAUAGCAAUGUAAACCUGCUUAAGGUGUAAAAGCAGGUUUAGGAAAUUCAGCUUUGGUUUUGGAUCAUAAAUUAGUUAGAUCAGCACAUAAUUAAGCAGUGUAACAGAGAUGGACGCAAUUGAGUUUUCAACUACAAGUCCUGUAAGCUGAAAGCAGUGACUGAUGUCUCCAACAAAAAGAUUUCUAAAAUAAUCCAAAUAUAUCUUUGCACGAGAUUUUUUUUUCAAUUCCAUACAAUUAAACGAGAGUACAAUGGCCAUCAAAGUAAAACGUGCCAAGCAUAAUGUACCUGUUGAAAAGUUGCACCAAUUGGCCUCAAAAUCUCUGUUACCCUUUCUUCAGACAGAUUCAGUGCACCCCUGAUCUCUGGAGGAAGCAAAUCCUUGGCAGGCCCAUAAGAAUAAACAACAAAAGAAGCCCCUUUUGCUAUAGAUUCCGCCACUGUAAUGAUUGCAACUCUGAGCACAUCAACAGAAGUGCCAGUAGCUUUUUGUGUGGCUUCCCUCAAGCCAAAUGAAAAGCUAGUCAGUCUUUGGCAGCUAAUUCUUCUGUUUGAUCAAAAGUAGAGAAAACUUUACUCAAGGCACCAUCUACUGCUUCUGAAGCACCUUCCUUAAUUGAUGUUAUUGAAGAAGUAAUUGUGUCUAGUGAGCUUUGCACAACAUUUCCUCCAUUAUUUACUGAAGUGUUGAUGGAGUCCCUAACCUCGCCCAAAAAAUCAUUAAAACCAGCCUUUGCACUAGAUAAUGAAUCGUUAUCCAUUUCCAGGGAAUCAGAUCCCAAACUGGGAUUCACUGGUGUCAUAUCAAUAGUUGAUGUUAUUUCAGGUUCCACAAGUCGUAUUAAACUAUCUGUAUUAUCAGCAAACUGGUCUGCAGAGUUCAAAGGUCCUUCUUCAACAUCAGAUAUGUUAUAACUUUCUAAGAAUUUCAGUUUACCCCCUCCCAUAGGGUGUGGGUGCAGUUCAUCUAUUGCUCCAACUGAAGAAUCGCAAUCCUUAUAAAAGUUGCAAUUAAUGUUGCCUAGUUCAUUUGGGCAAGAAUGAUCAUUAAUGAAAGCAAAGCUUUCAAUAAAAUUGGAGUAGAAAGACUUUAUAGCUUGUGUUUUGAAGGAAAUUCUUUGGUGAUGUGUUAUAUUUGACAUUCCCAAAAGUACCAUGUCUACAACAUAACAUCUGGACUCGAAAUCCUUCCAGACUGAGCAAAAUGGUUGCAGACCUCCAUGGAAUGUUAUCUGCAGUAGUUGUGGUUUCAAAUACAUGAAUGAAAUUUUUGACAACAGAAAUACCAUGCCAGAGGUAUAUGAAGAAAUAUGUGACAUGAUAACACAAAACUUGGUGACUUGAUAACCGAUGUGCAUGGAAGUUACUGCCUGCAAGGCUUCACUGAAAAUUGUCAAAUUCUGUUCUUUAAAGGUGGCAAGGAAUUUGUAUAUUGAAGAGUCUCACAGACCUCAUAUCUUAAUUUUAUAUUCUGAUGUAAGUAAUCAGAUUAAGAGCGUGUUUGACAUUGCGGUAGCGGUUGCUUUCAAAGUGUUUUUUGUUCGAAAACACAUCAAAAUAAUGUUUUCUUCAUUUUUUAAAAUACAUUUUUGACAUCAGCACAUCAAAACGGUCCAAAAACAUCAAAAAAAUAAUUUUAAGCAAAAAUAAUUAUAUUUUUGGCAAACGGUGUUGUGACAGCAAUGCUAAACACACUCUAAGUGGAGAGAAAAUGCCAUCAUAAUCCAAUGCAAAUGAGAAGAAAGUUGGUGCUAGGGAAUCACACCCAGAUGCUUAAUCUACUAAACGGAGAUGUACAAGCAGAUUAUUAGGCCAUGCAAAACUUUCUGCUAGAUUGUUAAGGGAUUUACUCAGCAUCCCUCUGAUGUGUAGGCCUAGAAGGAAGAGCAUGAGAAUCAAUUCAAAACCUUCACUUAGGCACAUAAGCUCUACAUGAUGUCAUACUGACCUUUAUGCUUAAACAGUUGAAGCUUAAUUUAUACCUUCAUUCAAAACCUUCACUUAGGCACCCCAGAUUUUUCAACUCAAAUACAUCAAACAUAUUAUAUAAAGAGGCAGACAUGUCUAGGUGCACCAUUUUUUUUCUUUUAUUUUUUGACACCAGAAUUUUUCUCUUAGUGAAAGUUCAAUUAUAGUCCUGGCUUGUUCUCCACCUAAUUAGAGGUCAUGCAUCUCCAAAACUAAGGGCAUAGAUGAAAUCCGAGGUACAGGGAUGAUAGAAACUUGGCAACAAAACGAAUUAAAUUACAGUCUAGGAAGUGAAACUCACCUGAGAAUGAGAGGAACAACACUGAGUGGCAGAGCAAACAGGCAACAUCUUUUGUUAACUCAAUAUAAACCUUAUCAAAAUCACCAAGCUUCUUUGUUCUGCAUGAAAGUAAGACUUUACAAUUAAAAUGCAGUUCAAUCUCCAAAUUCGCCCAUGAAAAAAAGAGCAGUAAUUAAACCAAGCUAAGUUGAAUAAGGGUUAUUUAUAUUUCUGACAAGCAAUCCACUUAUAAGAGGAUUCCUUGAAAUUCAAAAAAAAAAAAGUAACCUCUUUCUCGAAUAGUGAAAACAGAUGGCAUCAAUGUGGAUCAAAACUACGAAAGACAAGUUAGAAAUGGAUCAAAAUGAGCAAAACUGAACCAUGACCGCUUCAAUUCAUUAUACCAAGAUGAACGAUCCUUAAGUUGGCUUCUAGAAACUCAAGCUUGAGCUCCAUUUUUAAACAAAAUCAUGAAAAACAAAGAACUCGUUCCACAAAACAACAUAUUCAAGUGUAUAACUCACAAGUAAGUAAAACACACUAAGCUAAAACAAACCAAACCGGAGAUUCAGAACAAAUGAACCAAUUCCCCAAAUGGGUUCCUCACAAUACAAUCACUAACACCAUGAUACUACAAAAAGUGACGUCCAAGUACAGCAUUCAACAAAAAAGAUGACAAUUUACAACACGGUAAGCUAAGCUAAAUCAAACCACCCACUUCGAAAAAGAACUAAAACUUACUCAAAUCUAGGAAACUGAAAAUGGGUAGUGGAAUUUGUGUUGCGACUUGUCAAAGGAAACAAUAUAGAUCAUGGUAGAGAAUCGAAUCGUGUGGCUUGUCGAUGCCGUUAGCUCAUCUCUUUGGUUUCUCUCUGCCUCUCGUUUCUGCAGGUGGGGACCGACCAUAGAUUUCAUACGGGCCCGGGGUCUGAUCGAAUCCAAAACCCGAUUAGCUGAUUGGCCGAUUGAGCAAAGUCAAUUUCAAAACUAAUUGUUUUUAGUUUUAUUUUUAAAACUAAAAAAAUAUUGUUUUCAAAAAAACAAAUUAGAUAUUUCACUCAUGUUUUGCUAUGAAUUAGAUUUUUUUAAUAAAAAAUUUCUAAUUAUAAAUUAAAAUGUUGAUAUAUACAAUAAGUUACAUAAAUUAAUAUUUGAUCAAUAAAUAACUAAAUAAAAUUAAGAUAUUUAAUAACACAAAAAAAUUAAAUGUGAAAAAAAGUAAAAAGUAAAAGAAUAAAGAUCUUUUUCUUAAAAAAUAAAUAUUAGGGGUGAAAUUAAAAAAAAAAUUAUAAAAAAAACUAAAAAGAUAAAAAUCUACACGUGUGAACUUUUGAAACUCAUGAUCAUGACAAUGAGGCAAAGAUUGAGGAAAUCGACUGCAUAGAAGAUAAACACUAAAAAAUAACAAAAUAAAAUUUGAAAUAAAAAGAUGCCUCCAAUUAAAUUGAAAAUAAAAUAAAAUAAGAUUUGAGUUGUUCGAGUUAACCCGGGUUAACACGUCAACCUUAUGACCAUGUGUAUAAGAAUGAGAUAAUUCCACAUAAAGAAAAGAGAAAAAAAAAAGCAUGAAGACCAAUUCUAAAAAAUCUAACGUUAAGGGACAUAAAAAAGACCAAAAUCACCUCAUGUCAAUUUUCAAAACUCAUGAUCCUAGUCAUGAGACUAAAAUUAACCUUAUAGAAGCUGAAAAAAAAAAGAAACAAAAUUCUCUAUAAAAAAUAACGAGGGAUAAAAUUAACAAAGAAAAAUGCAAUAAAAAGAAAGGAUCUUAAACAAAAUAAACAUCGAUAAAAAUAACAAGAACAAAAUUCGAUAUACAAAAAUUAAAAUCAAAUGCUAAGGAUGAAAGUAAAAAAAACUCAAUUAAUAAAAGGAUAAAAUAUUCUAAAGAAUGAAAACUAGGUUUGAUAUAAAAAAUUAAAUUAAACCAAAUAAUUAGAAACAAAAUUGAAUAUAAGAAUAAAUCAAAAGAAGUUAAAAAAACAAAACAAAUAGCAAUAAAAAAAAUAGAAGAAGGAAAAAAAACUAAUGUUGAAUGUGAAUUUUUUUUUUUUUGAAAACAAAACUAAUAUCAAACGAUAAGAUAAGAAAAACAAUAAGCUAAAAAAAAGAUUUUAGUCCAUGUUAACCUUUUAAACUCAUGAUCUAGGUUAUUAGACAAAAAGUACCAUAUAUGAAAAAAUCAUGAAUCCUGUCCCUAACAAAUUAAAUAUUGAAUGAUGAAAUAAAAAAUCAUUAAUGCAAAAUAUUUUUUAAAAAAUUUAAAAAUAGUAAUUAAACGAAUGAGGAUGAAAUUGAAAUAAAAAAUAAAUUAGAAGGCAAAACCAAUUUUUUUAUUAAAGGGUUAAAUUGAAAAGAAAUAUAAUUUUAACAAAAGGGGAAAAUCAAAAGAAUGAGGACCGAACUAGAAAUAUAAUACACCAUAAAAUUGGAUUGAAUGAUGAAAAUAAAAAAUAAUAAAACUUUCACAAACAGGGCAAUGAAAAAAUUUAGAAAUCAAAUAACAAGGAUCAAAUUGAAAAAAAUAAUAUAUGAUAAAUUGAAAUUGAAGAACUAAAUUAAAAACAAAUAAAACUUUACAAAAUGGUUAAAGAAAAGAAUUAAAUAUGGAAAGAAUAAGGAUCAAAACUGAAAUAUCAAUAAUAAAAAUGACCAACCUGUAAUAUUUAAAAGAGAAAAGAGAAAAUAAAAAAAAUAACUUAUCAGCAACAAACUAACCUCCAUUAAAAGGGCAAAUUUGACCACUAGAGGCACGAGCACGUCUUCCAAAGAGUACAAGUGUUCCCAUGUGAUGAUAUGUGAAUUGUAUGCAUCAAUAAGUUUUUGAGUUUAAAAAUUAGUUAAUUAUUUUAAAAGGACUAAAUUGUUCAUUAUAGUUCUGGAAUUAAAAAAAAAAAAACCUAUGUGAAUAAAAAAAAAUCUCUAGACCAAUGAUUGAUUUUUUCUUGAUUUUCAAGAGCAAAUAUGUUUUUUUUUACUGUAUCUAAAAAAACCUAAAUAUACUUAAUAAACAACAUUAGAUUUUUUUUAUACGGGGUUUUAAAAAAUCAUUUUAUCAUGCAUAAGAAAUAGAAAAGUUACAUAUGUCCUAGUCAAAAAAUUGCCCUUAACUCGUAAGCUUUUGGUUACAUAUAUGUUUCCCGGUCAAAUAAUUAAUUGACCGAUGCCAAAAAAUUGAAUUGCCCUUAACUCAUAAGCUUUUGGGUUUUUCUUAGAAGGGGAAAAAUAUAAUUAAACUGUCGCAAUAAAUAGUUUUUUUUUGGUCUAUAUGCAUAGUAUUUUCUAUAGUAUUUUGGUAACAUUUUUAUUGUUUCUAUUAAUUAAAAAAAUUAUUAAAAUUGACUCUCUAAUUUUACCAGAUUAAUGUCAUGUAUUUAUGAUUUAAAGAAUAGGAUUGCAGGGGUGAAAUCAUCUACACCGAUGAUUUUGCUAGUGCUUUCUGCAUAAGAUCACAUCAAAAUGGAGUCAUUCGUUUUAAUUUUUCCAGAUUCCUUGGAAUGCUGCUAGUUAUUUUGGUGCUCUGCAAUGUUUUGUGGAGUAACGCAGGACGUUGGCCAUAUCACUUGAUAGUGAUUUGGCUUACUGUUAUAUAUCAGUCAGUCAGUAACAAUGGUGGUGGAUAUACUGCUCCAUUGCCACCAGGCUGGGAGAAGCGAUCUGAUGCAGCGACAGGGAAAACGUAUUAUAUUGAUCACAACACUAGAACUACAACCUGGAAUCAUCCAUGUCCAGAUAAACCUUGGAAGAGAUUUGACAUGGCAUUUGACGAGCUCAAGAGAUCAACAACUUUAUCUCCUCUGUCUCCGCUGGCUAAUCUUUUCGUUCUUGCCGGCGAUAUCCACGCCACACUUUAUACUGGUUCAAAAGCUAUACAUAACAAGUUCUUCCCAAUGAAAUAAUAUAUAAUAACCAUUAUAAUAUUAUGUGAAGCCAACAAAGUCCUCAGUACGAGCAAACACUUGGAUCGAAGACUUGAUGCCCUUCCCUACCAAAUAAAUAAAUAAAAAAAAUAACAAGACAUGAAGCAUUUUGUACAUAGAAUAUUUUUAGGAACUAUUUUUAAUUUAUUUUUAAUUAAUUUUUUUAUUUUCAUAUUAUUUUGAUGUGGUUAUAUCAAAAAUAAAUUUUAAAAAAUAAUAAUAAAAUUAUUAUUUUGAUAUAUUUUCAUAUAAAAAAAACUAUAAAAAAUAAUUAUUGUCACAAUACAAAAUAGAUUCUCUAACAAAUUCUUCUUAAUCAAAUCAUCAUAAUCAUUAUUUUGUUUUUUUAUAUUAUUUUGAUCUCCUUGUAUCAAUUACCCUGUAAACGUUACCCAUCUCUGCUGCUUUUAUGUUUCUUCUCUCAACUGAAUGGGUUCGGAGCUAAAUUUCCUUUCCAGGUUGUUGAGUGAAUUUGAGUUUAAAAUUCCCUUAAUUCAUUAUUGUGUUCAUUAUAUUUGUUCUUUAUGCUUAUGUCCAACCACCUGUUAAAGACAAUGCUAUGAGAUGAUCACUUCCUGUUUAAGGUGUCGUGGGUAAUGCUGGAUGUUUAGCAAUGUUUAGCUUUUGAUUCUUAAUUGCUAGACAUCUAUUUUAGGCAGGAGAUAACUUCACAUUAAGAGAGUUAUCUGUUCACUUUUUGCCAAUUUUGAAUUAAAGAAGGAGAAAAGUACUGAUGGAUCAGUCUUUAGUUUGCGCUACAUAUUUGACCCAUGUUUCACCACGGUUUAGAUAUAUUUUUUUUCAAUAAAAAAUUUAUAUAUAAACUUUUUCAACAUGUUUUUGUAUUUUAAAAAAAUUCUAAGUGAAAAUUAAAAAACUUAUAUGUACAUUUAAUCAAAUAAAUUAAGAAUUAUUUGUGUUAAUAAGUGAAAAAAUCAAUAAACGAUGACUAAAUAUAAAAAUUAGAAAAAUCAAGAGACGUAGAUCAAGAUAUUUAAUUUCACAAGACAUGACAUUUACACGGUUGUAUUUGCUAAUUUGUUAGUUAAAAUAAUGUUUUUAUUCAAUCAAACGAUAAUAAAAAUAAACACACAUUAAAUUGGUUGAAUAAAAUAAAAGAGAAAAAAUAAUAUGCAAGGCUACACAUAUUAGAAAUAUUAUUUGAAAAUAAUUUUUUUUUUAUUUUCAAAAAAAAAGUUCAUUCUACCUAGAGACGCCUUUUUUUAUAUUUUUUUUAGUUGAUUAUUAACUCAUUUCAAAGAUCACUAUAUAAAUGCUAGAAGAAUGUUUUAUUUUUAUAAUGUGAGAUUUGAAGCUCUUUAGUAUAUAUACUCUAUAUUCACAAGAAAAAAGUUAUGUUUUUUCAGCGUGGGAUAAUAAACCUUUUUGGUUUAAAAACUUCAACUUAGAAGAAUAAGAUAGUUUCUUUUCAAUGUGGUAUAAAAACCUUUUGAAAUAAUCUUUUAAACUUAAUUAUUUAUAAUAUAUAUAGCUAUUGGGUCUGGCUUGUAGACAGACCUAGAUAUAACCAAUUUUAAUUUUUUGCCUCUUUAGAUUUUUUUCUUAUGUAAUUUUUUUUCAUAUUGUAAAAUUAAAAUAAAUUAAUGAGACUUUUUAUAUAUUGUACAAAAGUUGCGUGAUUAUAUAUAUUUUUUUCAUUUGAGGUUGAGUUGGUUGAAUUGUUUUCUGCCAGCGUUGGGUCCUGCUACCUAGCAAGAUCCAAUAGCGUUAGCCCCUGCUGCAAGGUGGAAUCCAAUAAAAUUGGGCCUUAUUUCUGUUAGAACCCAAUAAGGUUGAGCCCUGCUGUCGUUCGGACUACAUAGAGUUAGGUUGCUAUCAGAUCCAAGACACUUAAUAUAUUCUCUUUAUUUUUUAUAUUUUUUAUAUUUUUUAAAAAAAUAUUAUUGAUUUGUUGGGGAGUGUAUAUCUAUAUAUGCUUGAAUAUAUAUAAAAAGAAAAGGCAUCUGCCAAAUUAUUUGGAUACAUUGUGAUUUUACAAAAUCACGGAUAUAUUAAAAUCAUGAUUUAAAAUAGCAGGUUUUUAAAAAAUACUUAUAAUGUGAAGUCAACAAAGUCCUCUGUACGCUCAAACACUUGGAUCGAAGACUUAAUGCCCUUCCUUUACCAAAUCACAACAAUAAUAAUAAUAAUAAUAAUAAUAAUAAUAAUAACAAUAACAUGAAGCUUUUUGUACAUAUUAAAUUCCUAGGAGUCAACAAUAUGCACCCUCUGUACAUGAGAAAAUAUUUUGAUGUUAUAAUAUAAAAAAUAAUUUUAAAAAAUAAAAAAAUAUUAUUUUGAUGGAUUUUCAAAUAAAAAAUACUUUAAAAAAUAACUAUAACUACAAUAUCAAAUUAGUUGUCUAAUAAAUUUUUCUCAAUCAAAUCACCAUAACCAUUAUAAUAUACCGUGAAAGCAAAUAACAAUUGUUUUUUAAAGUGUUUUUUUAUUAAAAAUAUAUUAAUAUAAUAUUUUUUUUAUUUUUAAAAAAUUACUUUUUUACAACAACAAAUCAAAUAUACUGAAAAAACAAAAAAAGAUAAAAAAAAAUUAUAAAAACAUUGUUUAUACCAUAAAGACAACCUAGUUCUAUUAUUUGAAAGACUAGAAAAAAUAAAAUAUUGAAAGAUGAAAUUAAAAAUAAAAUUAAUAACGAGAUAACAAGCAAAAACCAGGAAAAUAAUGGCAAAUGAAAUUAUCAAUUAUCAAACAUCAAUGUUCCCUCUGGUUUGAACUUUGAAUUAUGGUAACUACAUACGUAUGGAUAAACGAUCUCGAAGAGCAGAGAAUCACCUCCAUACAGGCUUUCUUUAUUGGUGGCACAAACUGAUGAUUUUGUAUACUCAACUUGAGAAAUUCAAACGAGUUAAGUACAAAACAUGAUAUUUGUACAUCUUCCAUUGCACUUUCCACUAUGAUUAACGUUGGAAAUGAUAUUUGUACAUCUUCCAUUGCAGCAAGACUCUCCAAAUUUGCACUUGUUACCACAUAUUCCACAGUUGUUCUUGUCUCCCAGAACAUUCCGGCAAUGUUUCUUGCAACAAUAAACUACCAAGCUGUUAUAUGUGUCUUUAAUGUACAAUAAACUACCAAGCUGUUAGUUUUUUUAUUUUUUAUUUUUAUAGACAAAGUAAUGAUUUCAGUUUUCAUGGGUCUUAUCAUGCAUAAGAGAUAAAAGAUGGACACGUGUUUAGUUUUCAUUUCCAAUUGAAAAUUUGGGUGGGGUGGAUUUAGUGUUCUUGUUUAUCGGCUGGUUCAUAAAAAAAAAAAAAAGUCUUCAUGGGUGAAAUUUCAAUUGACCCGGUAGGUCAAGCAGGUUUUGUUAAGCCAAUUACUGGUUUAAUUUUUAAUUGAUACAGAUCCAGCCAAGGCCACGUGUCACCAAACAAAUCAUAAAAAAAAAAGAGCGAAUAAAAAACACAACCAAUAUUAUAAUAAUAUAAUGUGAAGGCAAAGAAUUCCUACGGGGUCGAAGACUUGAUGCCCUUUCCUGCCACAUCACGGAUAAACAAAGAACAAGACAUGGAGCCUUCUUGUACAUGGGGAAUUUCCAGGAAGUCAACAAUGUGCACCCUCUGAGGUUGAUUUGAAACCAAAUCUGAGGUUGAUUUGGUCAAAAGGCAGUGUUUUGGAUUAUAUUGGUUAAGUUAAUCUAAAAAAAAUUUAAAAACAUUAUCUGAAAUUUUAAUAUUUUAUAUAAAAAAUUUAAAAAACAAUUUAUAUGAAUGAACUAUAUAUAUCAUAAAAAUUGAAGUUUAAAAAAUUAUUUUAAAAUAUUUUUCUACUUUUAAAAAUCAUAGGUAACGCCUAUAGUACCUCAACCUUCCCUUUUGUUCUUGCCCCUCCUAAUUGAUUUAAUAGUUUUCAUUUCCAGUUGAAAAUUAGGGUGUUUCAGUUCGCUGGUUUACUUGGCCGGUAAAUUGGAUUUUGAGUGUAUAGGAAACGCGGUUGAAAUCGUGUUUUUAAAAAUUUUAAUUUUUUUAUUUAAAAUAAUUUUUUUAAUAUUUUUAGAUUGUUUUUAUGUAUUGAUAUAAAAAAUAAUUAAAAAAAUAAAAAAACUUUAUUUUGAUACAUUUCUAAAUAAAAAAUACUUUGAACCGUUACCACUAUCACAAUUUUAAACAAACCCAGUACACCAAUUACCUAGCUAAAGUCCCGGUUACCAAACAAAUAACAAACACAAAUCAUAAUCAAAUCAACAAUUAUAAUGUGAAGGCAAGGAAGAGUGUGUGAUCCUUCUAGCUUAGAGUCUCACCCUCGGCUUACUGAAUUACCUUUUCAUUUUUUUUAUUUUUGGGAUUCAAUUAUGAAGUGUGGUGUUUUUUAAUAAGAAAUAUAUUAAAAUAAUAUUUUUUAAUUUUAAAAAACUUAUUUUUGACAUUAAUAUAUUAAAAUAUAUGAAAAUACUAAAAAAUAUUAAUUUAGAAUAAAAACAAUAGAAAACAAUGGCAAUGUUUUUCUUUUUCUCCCUACAUUCCCUUGAAGUAGGCUUACAAAAUUGCAAUAGAAAAUUCCAACAAGUGCAUGCAAUGUUUUCAUUUCUCAAAGUUUGCCUGUCAGUACCUUAUCUAUAUGUUUAAUUCGAAUGAACAUACGGGAAAGGUUAAAAGAUAAACAAAUGAGGUGCCAUAGCUUUCCUCAAUUCAGCAGAAAUUUGGAAAGUUCUCAGUAGGAGGUAGUUUGACAAGCACUAUCAUGCGAUGUUCUUUACAGGAUUGCUCUAGUUUUUUGCCCAACUCUUGCUUGAGGGAAGAUAUUGAAAGCACUUUUAACAAUCACAUAAUCCUCUCUCUCACACAAAAAGCCAUCUGCAUCAUGUAUACUAUAGAGCCCAUGAAACUUUGCUAGCUAAACUGAAGGACGAAAUCUUAAACACAUCAGGUGAUCAUUAGCUUCGUUCCCUAGUGCAUCUAGUUGGUCACUCCUUUAAAUCAUAUAAUGACUUUGAUGCCCUGCUUAUAUUGAGAAAGUAGCAUUGCGUGAGCCCUGUAUCCAAAUAAUCAUAUUGUUAUUAUGGUUGUGAUAAAUUAAGCUAGUUAAUAUGUUGGACCACAACAGUAAAGGGUUUGCUAGCAUGUUCUCUCUUUACUGCUUAGAACAACCCUCUAGCAUUAAUCAGAGUGAUUCCUUUGUUGUGUUAGUGAAAUUGCUGCUAUUGAUGAUGUUGGAAUUUAAGAUCCUUUAAUCAGUUAAACUCAUCAUUCACAAACAUUUUGCCUUCAUCAGGGAAAUGAGCUACAAAUAAGGCAAGCAGAUCUUUACCUCAGUGAAGGCGAGGAAUUGAGUUUCUAUGAAGUACUAUUACGAGCCCGACAGAGAAGAGAGAUAGUCAUUGGUUACCGUGCAGCUAAUGCUGAAAAGGCUGUUAUCAAUCCGCCUGCCAAAAGUGAGAGACGUAGGUGGUCACUGAAAGAUGUAUUCGUGGUAAUUGCGGAGAAGGAAUGAGGAUGAGGUUCUUCUUCAUCCUCUGAACAUGAUAUUCUUUGAAAAAAGUUCGACGGACACCGAAGAAAACAACAAUAGGAAGUGCUCAUUAGUUUCUGCCAGUCUGAAAAAAGAAAGAAAUAUAUACUACAGAUGUACAGUCACAUGUAGUAUAUUUCUUGUACAAAAACUCAACCUCAAAGUAAUGGAUUUUCUCGCUACCUAAAUAUGAAAGAGCUGUAACGUUUCCCAGGACAUGUGUUUGGAGCACUAAAUUGAUAAGAAGGCUCUACUUGGCAUGAAACAUUUGUGAUUUGCAAGAAUGAUGACUGACAGCACAGGGAAUGAAUAGCUUCAAGCUGGCUUCUUGCUUCGCAGAAGCAUGUUAUAGCAUGAUAAUUGAAGCUAGAUGGUUGGAAGUAUAUAUAUUCUGCAUCGUUCAGGACAAUCUCCUUCCUUUGGAAUACUAAAAAGAAAAAACCCUCUUCUAUAAUCUCAACGUGAAAGCAGAACCAGCCGACGCUUUGUGGUAAAAUCUUGAUAUCUGCCUGUCGCGGGGUUUCCAUCCAGGGAUGGAUUGGGGAAUUAUUCAAUCCUAAGUAGAGACUUAUUUUGACAUUACAAAAACAAUGUGUCAAACAAGUUGAAAGUAAUUAUAUGAAGAUGAAAUUGAAAUGAAAAAACAUUGGGAACGAAAACGAACAAUUGCAAAAGGGACAAUUUUUUUUUAUAAAAAAAACAGAGGGAUCAAUUAGGCGCAAUGUGGUAAAAACGGCACAGUUUUGACAAGAAAGAAGUACAAAAGCCCAUAUCCGCAAACCAUCCAAUCCUCCUUAUCCGUAUAAAAACCCAUAUCCACGAACACGCCCUCCCUCCCUCCCUCCCUCCCUCCGCAAUUCACUCUCCCAUUUCUCACUUGAAGAAGAUCAACCCAAGAAAAUGGCGGUGAAGAUUCGUUUAGCAAGACUGGGAUGCAAAAACGGGGCAUUUUACAGAAUUGUUGCUGCUGAUAGCCAUACUCCAAGAGAUUGCAAACACCUUCAAGUUGUUGGAGGUUCCCUCUUCUUCUUCUUACCCUUCUCUUAUUAUUUUCAUAUGCUCAGUUCACAUGAAGAUAUUUUUUUCCUAAUUUUAAAGACCUGGACUUUGAAGUCUUAUUGGGUUUAUUUUCAGGUUCUCAAAUAAUCAUUGCAUGGUAUGUGUAGAUAACUCUGUCAGCUUUCACUGGAUCAUCCAGAUUUCAGGUUGACUGGGCCAAUUGCUGGUCUGGUUUUCGACAGAUACAGAUCCGGCCAAGGCUCCACAUCACCAAAUAAAUCAAAGAAAAAAGAAAAAAAAAAAUCAAAACAAUUGAUUGUUGCGUGUCUAUAAUAAUAAAUAUGGCCCAUAUCACAAAUAAACAAAGAACAAGACCUGAAGCCUUUUUGUACAUGGGAAUUUCCAGGAAGUCAACGAUGUGCACCCUCUCUACAUGAGAAAAUAUUUGGAUUUGAAACCCCCAUUAUUACAAUUAUACAUGUGCCUAAGCUACUGAUUCAAAAUCAGCAUCUUUUUUCCUUGAGUUACUUCCGUUCUCUUCCUACAGACUUACCCUGCCACCAGAGUCUCACUCUUGUUUCUUCGACUGUUUCUCCACGAAACAAUGGCGAUGUUUUUCUUGUUUCUCUCUAUCUUUUUGUUUGUUUAUAUCUGGAGAUUCAUCAUACGAAGCCGUCAUAUUUCUCCAUCCCCAUCUACUCCUUCCACCUUAACCACCGCCCAGCCACAAGUAAUUAAAUAUGAUGUCUUCCUUAGUUUCAGGGGAGAAGACACUUGUUCUGAUUUUACCAGUCACCUCUAUGCUGCUUUGAACCGGAAACAAAUCCUAACUUUCAUAGAUUAUCAGCUUGUGAGAGGAGAUGAGAUUUCGGCAUCACUUCUGAGAACAAUUGAAGAGGCCAAGCUUUCUGUGAUUGUUUUUUCUGAAAAUUAUGCAUCUUCCAAAUGGUGCUUGGAGGAGCUUGCAAAGAUUUUUGAACGUAGAAAAAAUAAUGGACAGAUAGUUAUUCCGGUAUUCUACCAGGUGGAUCCAUCCCAUGUAAGAAAUCAAACAGGGAGGUUUGGGGAUGCAUUUGCUAGACUUAUAAAGAAGAAAGCUUUGACGAUGGACAAAGAGCAGAGCUUCAGAGACGCUUUGACGGAUGCAGCCAAUCUAUCUGGAUGGAGCUUAGGGAAGUCUGAGUAAGCUCUUGAAAUAUAUCCCAUAAAAAAAUAUUCGUUCAUUUGUUGAGGAUUUGAAAUUUAAUUUAAAAUUAUUGAGAAUGAUGAGCUCUGUGAAUCUAUAUUUAUUUUAUUUGAUUUUGAAAACGUUGUAGCGAAACACUUGUACAGAUCUUAAGCUUUAGGAGACAGAAAGCAGAUACUUAUGAAUCCUUAUAUUAAAUUUUAUCAGGACAAUCAAUGUUUUCUUCGAUCGUUUCACUUGAAAUUAGGGCAUUAAUAGUCUAUUAAUCUGAGGUGAAAAAGGAUUACGUUGUCUUGGAAAAUAAUAUAAAUUAUAUCUUGAGAUCUUCUUGACUUUGUUUUUUAUUGAGAUGAUUCUAUAUACGAUGAUAUGAGAAAACAUCUUAUGCAUUUGCAUGUCAUUGAUUUUCCUAGAUAAACACCGAUUACAAGUAGUUUCCAGUUUCAAAGAUUGAUUAACUGUAGCAUGAGAUAAGUAGGGAGCUGCUGCAUAUUUCUGAACUCAAAUGCAUUCACUCGAGAGGCCUAGUAAGAGAAUCUUGUCCAGGUUUAUGAAUACAUGCUCACCUUAUAAAAGAGCAGAAUAUAGAUGGAGGCUCUUCCUUUCUUUCCCACCAUAUAAUUCAGAUCCUAUACGUGCCUACUAUGUAUAGAUGUAGCUACUAAGGAGUGAGUAUGUUUAUAUGUUUGUUGUUUCUUCUAGUCUGGUCCAUUCUGACUAACAAAUAUGUGUGUGUUCUUGUUUGUUAGGCUGGAGUCCGAAUUUAUUGAAAAGAUCGUUGGAGAUGUUUUGAACAAAUUGCAUGCUAUGUCUUCAAGUCACACUACGGGUUUAUUUGGAAUUGAUGUUCGCAUUCACAAAGUCGAGUCUUUGUUAAAUAUGGAAUCUCAAGAUGUUCUCAUUGUAGGAAUAUGGGGAAUGAGUGGUAUAGGUAAGACAACGAUUUCUGAAGCUGUGUGCAACAAGGUUUGUUCUCGAUUUGAAGGAAUCUUUGUUGCAAACUUUAGGCAAGAAUUAAAAACACGUCCCAUGGCUGAUUUGCAAAGAAGCUUUCUUUCACAACUGCUUGGCCAAGAAAUUCUGAAAAUGGGCUCCUUGAGUUUUCGAGAUUCUUUUGUGAGGGAUAGACUUCGUCGUAAAAUGGUUUUUAUUGUUCUUGAUGAUGUGGAUGAUUUAAUGCCUUUGGAAGAAUGGAAAGAAUUGCUUCAUGGACGACACAGUUCAUUUGGUCCGGGCAGUAAAGUUCUCAUAACAAGUAGGGACAAGCAAGUGCUUAAUAAUAUAGUAGACGAAACAUACGAGGUUUGUUAGGAAAUGAAAUAUUCCCGUGUAUAGAAUAGCAGAGUUGUAUAAAAUAGAAGAUAUGUAUUUAUUCACUUUCCAUUGUAAUGCCUAAUAUGUCGCUACUGAAGCUACAAUGCAGCAACUGAUUCCUGACUUGUAGGAAUCAGUUGCAGCCUCCCUGUAUAAGUAUAUGAUUCAGUAUCAAUAACAAUCACUCUGGUAAAUUCAAUCUUUCUCUUCAUUCUUUUCAUGGUAUCAGAGCUGGCUUAGAAUCCUAAUCCAUUACUGCAAUUAAAUCUCUCGCCUAGCAUCUCUCUUCUUCAGCUACCAUGACCAACAAUGAAACGUCAUCAAACCUAGAAGCUCAUACAGAUUUUUCAAGAGGGAAUCUGUCAAAUCCCUAUUUCACUCACCAUUCAGAUCAUCCAGGUUUGGUUUUGAUUUCCAAACCCUUGAAUGGAGACAACUAUUCUACUUGGAAAAGGGCUAUGACCCUGGCCUUGAAUUCUAAAAACAAGCUAAGUUUUGUUAAUGGCUCAAUCAAAGCCCCUUCAGAAGAAACUGAUCCUGAAGGAUAUGCGGCUUGGUCUCGAUGCAAUGAUAUGGUCCAUUCAUGGAUUAUUAACACUCUCAAUCCAGAGAUUUCAGAUAGCGUGAUAUACUACUCUACCGCCCAUGAAGUUUGGGAAGACCUUCAUGACCGAUUUUCUCAAAGCAAUGCACCCCGUAUGUUUGAAAUUCAGCGAGAUAUCGCUUGUUUUAGGCAGGAACAACUUUCUGUUUCGGUGUAUUACACAAAAUUGAAGGGACUGUGGGAUGAACUUGCUUCCUACAAUGAUUCACUACAUGGGGCGCAGCAAGAUCAACAAAGAUUAAUGCAAUUUCUGAUGGGUUUGAAUGAGUCUUACAGUGCUGUUCGUGGACAAGUUCUCUUGAUGAAUCCCCUUCCUUCAGUUCGGCAAGCUUAUUCCUUUGUCUCUCAAGAAGAAAAGCAACGCCUUUUGAGUUCAGCACACACCAUCAAUGAUUCCGUUAACAGUGCAGCCAUGGCGGUUCAAAGCAACAACAGUAAGUUUAAUGACAAAGGUGAGCGUUCCUACCAUUCUUUUAGAUCGCAAGACAGAUUGACAGAUAAUUUCAGUGGAGGACGCAGAUUUGAACAGGACAGACGCCGGUUUGGACCUAGACGAGGACGGCCUCAUUGUUCCCACUGUGGAGAACCGGGACAUUGGGUCCAAACCUGUUAUGAGCUCCAUGGGUAUCCAGCAGGGCACCCCAAGGCAAAGCACAAUUCAGCCAGACGCUUCAACCAUAACAACAAAUCUGCAGCAAACCAUGUGUCAGAAAGUUUUGCUAAAGAAAAUGGCAAGUCUGUUGUUGGAAUUUCAGAGACCCAAUUGAAGCAGCUCUUAUCUCUUCUUAAUGACAAAGGCGCCGAAUCCAGUUCUCAAGCACAUGCUGCAACUACUGUAACCAAACCAGGUUUGCCUAAAAUUGCUUCCCGCAGUUGGAUUAUUGAUAGCGGGGCAACGGAUCAUAUUUCUUCAUCAUCUCAAUCAUUUUUUCAACGAGAUAACAAUUGCUCAUUGCCUCCUGUAUUACUGCCUAGCGGGGAAACAGCUAAUAUUGUUGCAAAGGGAUCAUUACCUCUGAAUUCCACUUAUUAUUUGCAUGACGUGCUUUGUGUACCCACAUUCAAAGUUGACUUGAUGUCAGUCAGUCGUUUGACAAGAGGUUUGAAUUGUUCGGUAACCUUUUUCCCUUAUUGGUGUAUUUUGCAGGAUCUGGCUACGAGGAGGAUGAUUGGUUUGGGUAAACAACGUGACGGACUAUACUACUUGGUGGCAAUAGCAACGAAGAAAUCUAUGGUUCAACCUUCCCAACCAUUACAUCGACCAGCCUGCAACCUCACCAUCUCAUCCACUGAUCUCUGGCAUAAACGCUUAGGCCAUAUCUCACCUCAUCGUUUAAGUUUCAUUGCCCAACAAUUUUUAAAUUUUUCUGUUCAAUCCAGUCAUGUUUGUCCUAUUUGUCCUUUGGCUAAGCAAAGUCGCUUGCCUUUCAAUUCUAGUGUCAUUUCCUCUAUAAAACCUUUUGAAAUAAUUCAUUGUGACAUUUGGGGUCGUUAUCGACACCCUUCCAUUUCUGGUGCUUAUUAUUUUCUUACUAUCGUUGAUGAUUAUACACGUUUCACAUGGAUAUUUUUGAUGCGACACAAAACUGAAGCUCAAUCUCUUAUAAAACGCUUUUUCAGUUAUGUUCUCACACAAUUUGAAUCUCCUAUUAAAAUUUUCCGAAGUGAUAAUGGUGGUGAAUUUAUAUCACUUCGUUCCUUUUUUCAAGAUAAGGGUGUAAUUUUUCAGCAUUCCUGUGUUUACACACCUCAACAAAAUGGGGUUGUGGAACGCAAACAUCGUCACAUCUUACAAGUAGCUCGAGCUUUGAAAUUUCAAGCUCAACUCCCAACCCAAUUUUGGGGAGAGUGUGCUCUUACUGCUGUCCACAUCAUCAAUCGACUCCCUUCCUCAGUGCUCUCCUUCAAAACUCCAUUUGAACUUCUCUAUUCAAAACCGCCUUCUUUUUCUCAUAUCCGGGUUUUUGGUUGCUUAGCUUAUGCUAUCAAUGUACAUCCUUCUCACAAAUUUGACUUUCGCUCAAUGCCCUCAAUUUUUAUUGGUUAUCCUACCGGUCAAAAGGCAUAUAAAUUAUUUGAUUUAUCUUCCAAAAAAAUUUUCACUAGUCGCGAUGUGCGCUUUCAUGAACAUAUUUUUCCUUAUGCAUCUGCCAAACCCGGUUUUGUUCAACAUCCUUCACCCAUUGAAUUUGGUCCUAUUCCUCUUCUAACUCAUGCCACGACUUCUCUUUAUUCCAGUCUACAAACUUCUCCUCCUGUUACAGCACCUGCACCUUCCUGUUCACCGCCAUUUGCCUCCUCAAAUCCCCACCCCUCAUCACCCCAGCCUCCACCCAUCCUCCGCACCUAUACACGUCGCCCUCGGCCUUCUGACCCAAUUCCCCCAGCUGAAAAUACACCACCACCCGAACCCGCCCCACCUGAACCCAGUUGGCCUUCUGAAAAUCCACCACCACCCGAGCCCGCCCCACUUCGUCGCUCCAGUCGCCAUACUGCUCCACCAGCCAAGCUCAACGACUUUGUCUGCUCCAAUGUUUCCUCCAACCAAUCAGCCACCUUACUGCCAGGUCCAUCCAAAGGUACGCGAUAUCCCAUGGCCAACUUUGUUUCAUAUCAUCGUUAUACUCCUGCAUAUCACGCAUUUGUUGCUCAGCUCAGCACCAUCCCAGAGCCUAAGUCUUAUGCAGAGGCUGUUGUUCAUCCUGAAUGGCAGCAGGCCAUGCGCUCCGAACUGGAUGCUCUCCAAGCCAAUGGCACUUGGUCUCUCACCUCCCUGCCGUCAGGCAAGACACCAAUUGGCUGCAGAUGGGUCUACAAAAUUAAACACCAUUCGGAUGGUUCUGUCGAGCGGUACAAAGCUCGUUUAGUCGCCCAAGGUUUCACUCAAAUGGCAGGAGUCGACUAUCAUGAUACAUUUUCUCCUACUGCCAAAAUAAUCUCUGUCCGUUGUUUACUUGCCUUAACUGCAGCUCAUGGCUGGCCCCUGCACCAGAUGGACGUCCACAAUGCUUUCCUUCACGGAGACUUAGCUGAGGAGAUAUAUAUGUCUCUGCCACCAGGUCUUCGGCGCCAGGGGGAGGAUCAUCUAGUUUGUCGCCUCCACAAGUCCCUUUACGGUUUAAAACAGGCAUCCCGCCAGUGGUUUGCCAAAUUUUCCGAAGCUAUGCAUUCUGCUGGUUUUAUACAAUCAAGAGCAGAUUAUUCUCUAUUCACCAGGAAGCAGGGUAUGUCCUUUACUGUUCUCUUGAUAUACGUUGAUGAUAUCUUGAUCACUGGAAAUGAUCUGGUUAACAUUGCUGCAACUAAACAAUUCCUGCAUAAACAUUUUCAUAUCAAAGAUCUUGGUGAUUUAAAAUACUUUCUUGGAAUUGAGGUGUCUACUUCAAAGAAUGGAAUUUUCAUUUCACAACGUAAAUAUGCACUGGAAGUCAUUGAGGAUGCAGGUUUGUCAGGUGCUGCUCCUAUUAAUACUCCUAUGGAACGGGGCUUGAAAUUAUCAGACAAGAGCACCCUGCUCAAGGAUACAAACCGGUAUAGAAGAUUGGUGGGUCGGUUAAUUUAUUUGACUGUAUCAAGGCCAGACAUAACGUAUGCUGUACAUGUCUUGAGUAGAUUUAUGCAGCAGCCCCGAAAACUUCAUAUGGAGGCAGCUCUUCGAGUUGUUCGAUAUCUAAAAGGUGCACCUGGCCGAGGCUUAUUUUUCUCUUCGAAGAGUGAUUUAAAAUUGAGAGCUUAUUGUGACUCAGAUUGGGCAGGCUGUCCACUCACUAGGAGAUCUACAACAGGCUAUUGUGUUUUUCUUGGACCUUCACUGAUAUCCUGGAGGUCGAAGCGCCAGAAAACAGUUUCGCUUUCUUCUGCUGAAGCAGAAUACCGAGCAAUGACAGGAGCCUGCUGUGAGUUAACAUGGUUGCGAUGUCUACUGAAAGACUUGGGAAUUUCACACCGUGAAUCUGCCUUACUAUAUUGUGACAAUAAAGCUGCAUUACACAUUGCAGCCAAUCCAGUGUUUCAUGAGAGAACUAGGCACAUUGAAAUGGAUUGUCACUACAUCCGAGACAAGAUUCAAGAUGGUUCCAUUACUACAAAACAUGUCGACUCUGCACAUCAACUAGCAGAUGUCUUGACUAAGCCCCUGGGAAAAGAGAUCUUUGUUCCUAUGGUUAGCAAGUUAGGAGUGCAGGAUAUCCACUCUCCAACUUGAGGGGGAGUGUUAGGAAAUGAAAUAUUCCCGUGUAUAGAAUAGCAGAGUUGUAUAAAAUAGAAGAUAUGUAUUUAUUCACUUUCCAUUGUAAUGCCUAAUAUGUCGCUACUGAAGCUACAAUGCAGCAACUGAUUCCUGACUUGUAGGAAUCAGUUGCAGCCUCCCUGUAUAAGUAUAUGAUUCAGUAUCAAUAACAAUCACUCUGGUAAAUUCAAUCUUUCUCUUCAUUCUUUUCAAGGUUGAGAGGUUGAACUAUGAAGAAGCUCUUCAACUCUUUAGCUCAAAAGCCUUGAAGAAUUGCAUCCCCACAAUUGAUCAUAGAGACCUGAUAAAAAGGAUUGCAAGUCAUGUACAAGGCAAUCCGUUGGCUCUUAUAGUUUUGAGUUCCUCUCUCUAUGGUAAAAGCCCAGAAGAAUGGUACAGUGCAUUGAAUAAACUAGCUCAGAACCCUCGAAUCGAAAAUGCAUUGAGAAUUAGUUACAAUGGGUUGUAUCAAGAACAACAAUCCAUAUUUCUUGAUAUAGCACAUUUCUUCAGAAAAUUUGAGCAAAACCAAGCUACAAGAAUAUUAGAUGGCUUUUAUGGCCGGCCUGUGAUUUUUGAUAUAAGCAUGCUCAUUGAUAAGUGUCUCAUAACUACUUCUCGGAACAUGCUAGAAAUACAUGAUUUACUACAAGAAAUGGCAUUUAGCAUUGUUCGUGCAGAAUCUAAGUUUCCUGGCAAACGUAGCAGGUUGUGUCAUCUUACUGACAUCGUUCAUGUAUUGGAGGAAAAUAAGGUUAAAGCCGAAGUCAUUAGAUAUCUUUCUUUUCUCUGCUCUGACAUACUAACUGAGAGGUUUCAUAUUUGCUGAAAAGUUGAUUUUUUGAGUACAUUGUAUUAUUGUUUGUUUAUUCUUUAUUCUUGUUUAACAGGGAACUGAAGAAAUUGAAGGCAUAUCUUUGGACAUGUCCAGGUUAUCGAGACAGAUACACUUGAAAUCUGAUGCCUUCGCAAUGAUGGAUGGUCUUAGAUUUAUCAAAUUCUUUUUCGGUCAUUUGUCCCAAGAUAACAAAGAUAAAAUGCACCUUCCUCCUACUGGCCUCGAAUAUCUUUCUAAUAAGCUGAGAUAUUUGCACUGGGAUGGAUUCCCUUCAAAAUCCUUGCCGCAUGUUUUUUGUGCUGAAUAUCUUGUCGAGCUUAACUUAAGCAGGAGCAAGGUUGAAAAACUUUGGACCAGAGUACAGGUAUGAUUUAAUUGCUGUAUAUUUAUGAUCAGAAAUAUGUAGUUGGAGGUGCUAACUUUCUAAUUAUGCCUUUUCCUGUUGACAGGAUGUUGGAAAUGUACAAAAAUUUGUACUAUCUUACUCUCCAUAUUUGACGGAAUUGCCAGAUCUAUCAAAGGCCAGAAAUUUGGUGUCCUUACGCCUUGUAGACUGUCCAAGUUUAACCGAGGUUCCGUUUUCUCUUCAAUAUCUUGACAAGCUGGAAGAACUUGAUCUCAAUUUUUGCUAUAAUCUUAGAAGUUUUCCAAUGCUUGAUUCAAAGGUUCUCAAAGUACUUUCUAUAAGUCGGUGCCUAGAUAUGACCAAGUGUCCAACGAUUUCACAAAAUAUGAAAAGCUUAUAUUUAGAGGAAACUUCAAUCAAAGAAGUUCCACAAUCAAUUACUAGCAAGUUGGAAAAUCUUGGUCUGCAUGGUUGCUCAAAGAUCACCAAGUUUCCAGAGAUUUCAGGGGAUGUAAAAACAUUAUAUCUAAGUGGAACUGCUAUUAAAGAGGUGCCCUCAUCAAUCCAGUUUCUCACAAGACUUUGCGUAUUGGAUAUGAGUGGUUGCUCAAAACUUGAGAGCUUCCCAGAAAUCGCAGUGCCUAUGAAAUCAUUGGUGGAUCUUAACUUGAGUAAAACAGGCAUUAAAGAGAUACCCUCAUCAUUUAAGCAAAUGAUAUCUUUGAGAAGUCUAGGGUUAGAUGGAACGCCUAUUGAAGAGCUACCCUUAUCAAUCAAAGAUAUGGUAUGUUUGAGAUAUCUGGCUUUGCAUGGAACACAUAUUAAAGCGUUACCUGAGCUUCCACCUUCGCUGAGGUCUCUAACAACACAUGACUGUGCAUCACUAGAAACCAUGAUAUCAACCAUCAAUAUCGGCAGAUUAUGGGACUGAUUGAAUUUUGCAAAUUGCUUCAAAUUGGAUCAGAAACCACUGAUAGCAGCAAUGCAUUUGAAAAUUCAGGUAUCUCUCUUAACCCCAUCUUUCUUUCUUCUCUCUUUCUUUCUUGCUUCAUCACAUUUUCGAAAUGUGACUUUUGUGUUAUAGUCCGGAGAUAAGAUCCCAUAUGACAGAAUUCAAAUGGUUCUACCGGGGAGUGAAAUUCCAGAAUGGUUCAGUGACAAAGGAAUUGGAUCUUCACUCACCAUACAGUUGCCCACAAAUUGUCAUCAGCUCAAGGGAAUUGCUUUCUGCCUUGUCUUUCUACUCCCUCUUCCCUCCCAUGAGAUGCUUUAUGAAUUCGAUGAUCAUCCUGAAGUUCGCGUAUAUUUUGAUUGCCAUGUUAAGAGUAAAAAGGGUGAGCAUGAUGGUGAUGAUGAAGAAGUCUUCGUUUCCAAGAAAAGCUAUAGUAUAUUCAAUUUCUUGAAGACAUGUGACUCAGAUCACAUGUUUCUACACUAUGAGCUCGAAUUAGUAAAUCAUUUCCGUAAAUAUUCUGGCAAUGAAGUUACAUGUAAAUUCUACCAUGAAGUGGACAACGGGAGUACGAAAGUAGGUCAUGAGAUUCGAAAGCCUUGCGAGUUGAAAAGCUGUGGUGUAUAUCUGCACUUUGAUGAAAAUCUACAGGCCGGCACUUUGUUAAGGAUCUUCCUUAACAAACAAAAGUUUAGAAGAAAAUUGAGGGAGAAAUAGAAGAAAUUGAAAAGGAGAGAGAGAGAGAGAGAGAGUUCUGCAAUUACUGCAAAUUGUUCGUCAAGUAGUUUUCAAGAUACCUAUACUAGCUGCUUCUUCUGGUACUACUAACUUGCUGCUGUUGUAAUUCUUCUCUAUGACUAACUAACUUUGACCUUACCCUGCAAUUUGUAAUACACUUAUGAUGAGGAUUUGAAGCAAGUAGUUCUGAGAAGGAUUCAAUUUACUAUACGAAUUAUGAAUGAUUAACUUUGUGGGGGUAAUGCAUUUGUAAUUUUAUUUUCUUAUGUAUAUGUAGUUUAAUAUGACCACUGGUAGCGCAGAUUGUUCAUAGUUUAUUCUGUCAGCAGUUAAAGUCUCAAAAAUAUGUUUUUAAAGCACAAAGGUCAUCAAGUAUAGGGAAAAUAAUUUUUAGUUAGAAUGUUUUGGGUUUAGGCCAACAUUAUUGAUAGGACUAAUACUAUUGCCUAUGUAUCAUCAAGUGAAAUAAUUGUAUUUAGUCUAUAUUCCGGUAACCAAAGCUUCACUCCUUCCUUAUGAUUAUGUCGUAAUGCUGACUGAAUCCAAUCCAUAAACCCGGAAACGAAACAAAGCUCGUUCCCUUUCGUCACUGAAGCACUAAUCAUGCUUAAUUUUUCUCUUAAUUCAUUAUUGUGUUCAUUAUAUUUGUUCUUUAUGCUUAUGUCCAACCACCUGUUAAAGACAAUGCUUUGAGAUGAUCAUUUCCUGUUGUACAGCUUAAUAUUGCUCAGUCUAGUAUGAUAGGCUGCGCAUCUUUUUCCUAUUCUGAGCUCACUUUCCAUGUCCCAUGUAAUGCAGAUUAACUGUUAAAAGGACUGCAUGCAUUUCAAAUGUGUGAGAAUCUGGAACAUCUGCUGAUUGUUGUUCCUGCAUGUCCUUGUACUUGAGAAAAUAUUUAUUGCUGAUUGUUGUGUCAUUAGCAAUUAGAUGAUGUUGUGACACUUUCAGCUCUGUCACAAAAGGAGUGUUUGCCUGUUGAGAGAUGUUACAUGCGUUGCUCAUAGAGCAUGGACGCCUUCCAAAAGCACACAUCAAUUAUUUUUUAAUUUUUAAUUAUUUUUUUAUUUUUAAAAAAAUUAAAUUGCCUCUAAUUCACAUUGAUUAUAACUAAAAAGCCUUGAAAAAAUAUAAAAAAACCUCUGAAUAUCAAUUUUUUUUUUAAACAAUGUAGUCAUUUCACUGUACUAUUAAAACAUUAAAAGACUGAAACACCCAUUAAUCCUAGUUUUGAAAAUUUUGCUUUUAAAAAUAUUUAAAUUAUUUUACUGAAAUUCUAAAAUGCUUAAAAACUGAUUUGUCCUCAUUUAAUAGGAUAAUGAUAAUACAUCACAUGAAAAGACUGUAUUGCUUUUAAUGACUAAUUAAAUAGUUUUAUUUUAGAUAUGCAAAAUAAUCACUUCAUUAUUUUAAUUCACAAUUAUAUGUGUCUUUAAUAUAGCUGUUAGUUUUUUUAUUAAUUUUAAUUUUAAUUAAAAGACAUAGCAAGUUGUCUAAACCCUUUUCAUGGACAAAGCAAUGAUCUUCAAUGAUAAAAUAGCAUUUUGAAGCAUGUAAAAAACAGACAAAACAAUUGCUCUAAGAGUUCAAUUGUUUCAAGCCUAUCAAAGUAGCUUAGUCUUAAUAGGAAUGUAUCCUAUAAUUAUUAAAUCAAAUCCAGGAAUGUCUAAACGGGUUUGCUGGGCUAAUUGCUGGUCUGGUUUUUAACCGAUACAGAUCAAAAAAAAAAAAAAAACAAAGAACAAAGAACAAGACCUGAAGGCUGAAGGCUGAAGCCUUCUUGUACAUGGGAAAUUUCCGGGAAGUGAACACCUCUGUACACAUGAGAAAAUAUUUGGAAAAAGGAAACACGUAAUUUCAAUUUUUAAGGAAGACUUAAGAUCAAGUCGUCGUCCCCAUCAAUAAUUACUUCUUCUUUUUACAUGAUUCCUUCCAGCUCAUUACACACAAUCUAUCAUCGGCAGAUGACUUCAGGAACACUCGAUGCCCUUCCUACCAAAUCACAAAAAGAAAAAACAAAUAACAAGACAUUAUGCCUUUCUGUCCACAGGAAAUUACCAAGUAGACGUGCACCCUCUGUAACGUCCAAGAAAAUACAUGGAUUUGAUUUUUUUUAUUUUAAAUUAUUUUUUUUAUUUUUAUAUCAUUUCAAUGGACUGAAUAAAAAAUUAAAUUAAAAAAUUAAAAAAAAUAUUAUUUUGAUGCAUUUUCAAGUGAAAAUUAUUUUGAAAAACAACUGUUAUCACAAUACCACAAAUCCAUCAUAACCAUUAUAAUAUAAUGUAAAGGCAAAAAAGUCUUUGGCAUGUGCAAACACAUGGACCAAAAAUAUAGAAGGUGUUUGCAAGUGUAGUAAUAAUUGAUUUUUAAAAUGUUUUUUUGCUUGAAAAUACAUCAAGAUAAUUUUUUUUCACUUUUAAACAAUAAUUUUUGACACCAACAAUGUUAAAACAAACAGAAAAAACUAAAAAAAAUUAAUCUAAAAUAAAAUAUAAAACAAUUUCUAAAUUUAUUAAAAUAUUGUUUAUACAGCAAAGACAAACAAAACCUAAAUGCCCUUUCCUUCACAUUAAAUUUAUUAAAAUAUUGUUUAUUAAUAUCAUUUUAAUAUACUGAUAUUAAAAAUAAAUUUUAAAAAAUAAAAAAUAUAUAUUAUUUUGUUGCAUCUUCAAGUUAAAAUUAUCUUGAAAAACAAUUGUUACCUCAAUACCAAACAUGUUCUCUAACAAGUUCUUCUCAAUCAAAUUAUCAUAACUAUUAUAAUAUAAUGUGAAUGUAAAAAAGUCUUCGGCACACGCAAACACUUGGAUUGAAGAUAUAUAGGGUGUUUAUAAGUAUAGUAAUAAUUGAUUUUUAAAAUGUUUUUUUGCUUAAAAAUACAUCAAGAUAAUAUAUUUUUUUUAUUUUUAAAGAAUUAUUUUUGACACAGACACAUCAAAACAAACCAAAAAAACCAAAAAAAAAAUUAAUCUAAAAUAAAAUAUAAAAUAAUUUCAAAAUUUAUUAAAACAUUGUUUACAUAGCAAAAGACAAACAAAAGCCUAAAUGCCUUUUACUACGGCAUCACAAAUAACAAGACUUGAAGCCUUUUGUGCAUGGAAAAUUUCCAGGAAGCUAACAAUGUGCACCUUCUAUAAUGCCCCGAGAAAAUACUUGAAUUUGAAUUUUUUUUAUUUUUUGUUUACUUUAAAUUAAUUGUUUUGUGUUUUAAUUAUAUCAUUUUGACUUUUUGAUAUCAAAAAUAAAUUUUAAAAAAUAAAAAAUAUUAUUUUAAUGUAUUUCUAAUCAAAUUUUUUUGAAAAACAACCACUAGUACAAUAUUGAACAGAUUCUCUAACAAAUUCUUUUCAAUAAAAUCAUCAUAACCAUUAUAAUAUAAUAUGAAGGCAAAAGAGUCCUCUGCAAGGCAAAUACUUGAACUGAAGAUAUAGAAGGUGUUUACGAGUAUGGUAAUAAUUGUUUUUUAAAGUGUUUUUCAUUUAAAAAUACAUUAAGAUAAUAUAUUUUUUAUUUUUAAAGAAUUAUUUUUAACACAAACAUAUUAAAACAAACCGAAAAAAACUAAAACAAAUUAAUCUUAAAUAAAAAAAAAUCAAAAUUUAUAAAAACAUUGUUUAUAGGCAAAGAUAAAAUCGCCUUUCCUUCCAUGUGCAUGGCAGCUCCACUGGGCUGCUACGGAAAUUAAAAUGUAUUAAGAUAUUAUUUUUAUUUUUUAAAAAUUAUUUUUAAUUUUAGUAUAUUAAAACAAUUUAAAAAUAUAAAAAUAUUAAAUUUAAAAAAGUAUUAAUUUUUUUUUUAAAAGAGUAUAUUUCUAAAAAGUGUUCUGACACAUUUUGACAAGAAAUUCGUAAUUUCCAGGAAAAUUAUAAAAGAAUUUGAAGUAAAAAUUAAUAGACUAAAGAAUGACGUGGGACAGAAGUGUUUAGUGUUUUUAAAAAAUAUAUAAUAAAAAAGUUAAAGAGAAGAUCAGCUACUCCGCCAAGUGAAUAGCUAAUACAGCUGUGAUAUGAUAAACAAGAAUAUAUAUGCUUUUGAUUUUUAACAAUGGAAUCAACACUGUGCAAUCUUGUAAUGUUCUAAGAAAAUUCUUGGAUUUGAUGCCUAUAAAUUAUACAUAUGCCUAAGGCAGGGUCUUCAACACGUAAAGCCUAAGCUACUGAUUCAAAAUCAGCCUCAUCUUUUUUCCUUGAGUUACUUUCGUUCUCUCCCUACGUACAGACCUACCUUGCCACCAGAGUCCUACUCUUGUUUCCUCGACUGUUUCUCCACAAAACAAUGGCGGUGUUUUUCUUGUUUCUCUCUAUCUUUUUGUUUGUUUUUAUCUGGAGAUUCAUCUUACGAAACUGUCAUCUAUCUCCAUCGCCAUCUACUCCUUCCACCUUAACCACCGCCCAGCCACAAGUAAUUAAACAUGAUCUCUUCCUUAGUUUCAGGGGAGAAGACACCCGUGUUGGUUUUACCAGCCACCUCUAUGCUGCUUUGGACCGGAAACAAAUCCGAACUUUCAUAGAUUAUCAGCUUCGGAGAGGAGAUGAGAUUUCGGCAUCACUUCUGAGAACAAUUGAAGAGGCCAAGCUUUCUGUGAUUGUUUUUUCUGAAAACUAUGCAUCUUCCAAAUGGUGCUUGGAGGAGCUUGCAAAGAUUAUUGAGCGUAGAAGAAAUAAUGGACAGAUAGUUAUUCCAGUAUUCUACAAGGUGGAUCCAUCCCAUGUAAGAAAUCAAACAGGAAGCUUUGGAGAUGCAUUGGCUAGAUUGAUAAAGAAGAAAGCUUUGACGAUGGACAGAGAGCAGAGCUUCAGAGACGCUUUGACGGAUGCAGCCAAUCUAUCUGGAAGGAGCUUAGGGAAUUCUUGAAAAGAUGGAAGAACAAUGUGUAUUGAUUGAGUGAAUGAAUAAAGACCUUAGGUCAUGUAUUUGUACAGCCAAGGCAUUCCUAUGAGUUAGGAAUGGGAACUACAUUACAGGAAAAUCAGCUACAAUAUAGGAACUAAAAUAGGAAAAUAAUAUGUACUGAUUAUCUAUUUCUAUAUAAAGAUAAUGUCAACAUUUAUCUUGUCAACACUCCCCCUCAAGUUGGAGAGUGGAUAUCCUGAACUCCCAACUUGCGAAUCAUAGGGAUGAAACUUUCCUUUCCCAAAGACUUGGUCAGGAUAUCCGCUAGCUGAUGUGUAGAACUCACAUAUCUCGUGAUCACUGAACCGUCUUGAAUCUUGUCUCUAAUGAAAUGGCAGUCCAUCUCAAUGUGCCUAGUCCGCUCAUGGAAAACUGGGUUGGCAGCUAUGUGUAAGGCAGCCUUGUUGUCGCAAAACAAUAGGGCUGCUUCAUGAUGUAUUAGACCCAAGUCUUUCAAUAAUUGACGCAGCCAAGUCAACUCACAGCAGGCUCCUGUCAUUGCGCGAUAUUCGGCUUCGGCGGAAGAAAGGGAAACUGUUUUCUGUCUUUUCGAUCUCCAGGAUAUCAAUGACGGUCCAAGAAACACACAAUAGCCUGUGGUGGAUCUCCUAGUGAGCGGGCAACCUGCCCAGUCUGAGUCACAAUAUGCUCUCAACCUGAAGUCAUUAUUCGAUGAGAAAAAUAGGCCUUGACCUGGUGCACCUUUCAAAUAUCGGACAACCCGAAGUGCUGCUUCCAUGUGAAGCUUUCUGGGCUCAUGCAUAAACCUACUCAAAACAUGCACUGCAUAGGUUAUAUCCGGUCUCGAAACUGUCAGAUAAAUCAAUCUGCCAACCAAUCUUCUAUACUUACUCGGUUCUUUCAACAAAACACCCUGGUCUGAUAAUUUUAAACCUCGUUCCAUAGGAGUGUUAAUUGGGGCAGCCCCCAACAGACCCACAUCCUCAAUAAUUUCCAAAGCAUAUUUACGUUGACAGAUAAAAAUACCCUUCUUGGAUGCAGAAACUUCUAUGCCAAGGAAGUACUUUAGAUUACCAAGGUCUUUAAGAUUAAACUGACUAUGCAGGAAUUUUUUAGUGUCAACAAUGCUAGCAUGAUCAUUUCCAGUUAUUAGAAUAUCAUCCAUAUAUAUCAAAAGUGCAGUAAAGAGCUUGCCUCGUGUUUUGGUGAACAAAGAGUAAUCGGCUCGAGAUUGGAUGAAGCCAGCAGAACACAUGGCCUCCGAGAAUUUUGCAAACCACUGCCUAGACGCCUGUUUCAAACCGUACAACGACUUAUGUAAACGGCACACCAGAUUAUUCUCCCCCUGUCGCUGAAGGCCAGGCGGUGGAGACAUGUAAAUCUCUUCUGCCAAAUCGCCAUGAAGAAAGGCGUUAUUCACGUCCAUUUGAUGCAAGGACCACCCACGGGCUGCAGCUAAGGCAAGCAAGCAGCGCACUGAAAUAAUCUUCGCUGUUGGAGAAAAUGUAUCCUGGUAAUCUAUGCCUUCCAAUUGGGUGAACCCCUUUGCUACCAACCGUGCUUUGUGCCUUUCAACUGACCCAUCUGAUCGGAGCUUGACCUUAUAGACCCAUCGGCAGCCAAUUGGAAUUUUACCAGUGGGAAGUUUGGUAAGAGUCCAGGUGCCGUUAGCUUGUAAAGCCUUCAACUCAGAAGUCAUGGCCUUCUGCCACUCAGGAUGAACAACUGCCUCUGAAUAGGACUUAGGUUCACUGAUGGUGCCGAUUUGAGCAACAAAGGAUCUGUAAUUGGGCAUGUAUCUGUGAUAUGAGAGGUGGUUAAACAGAGGAUGUCGAGUUCCUUUGGUUGGACCCAGCGACAAAGAGAGUGAUUGGUCAGUGUAAACAUUGUUGCAGACGAAAUCCUUGAGCUUGAUCGGUGGAACAGUCUGGCGACUUGAGCGACGGAGAGGAAUAGGGGCAGGAAUGGGGUUAUUUGGUGGAGUGGUGGUUGAUGAGUGCUCGAAUGGUGGAGCUGAAGGAGGUGGCUGUGGGAGUGGUGAAGGUGACGGUGGGUCACGAGGUGAAGGGGACAUGUGUGAUGGCGUCGGUGAAGGAGAGGAAGAUGGUGAAUUUGGUAAAGGUGAGGUAAGGUGAUUUGGCAGGUAAGUGUCUGAUGUGGAAGGAGAAGAAUUGGGCCAAGGGAUGUCACGGGCCAUAAUUGGGAUUGGGCCGGUUUCGGAAAUUUGUGGGCCAGUUUCUGGUGGGUUAAUGGGCUGGACAGAUGCAUAGGGAAAAAUGGUUUCAUGAAAUCUGACAUCGCGGCUAGUAAAAUUUUUUUUAUUUGACAAAUCAAACAAUUUGUAUGCUUUUUGUCCAACGGGAUAACCAAUGAAAAUGGAAGGAAUGGAACGCUGAUCAAACUUAUGAGAAAUGCGCACAUUAGUAGCAUAGGUUAGACAGCCAAAAACACGGAGAUGAGAAAAGGCGGGUUUUUUUGAAAAGAGAAGUUCAAAAGGAGUUUUUAGAGAAAGAACUGGAGAAGGCAAACGAUUGAUUAUGUGGACGGCGGUAAGAGCACAUUCCCCCCAAAAAAGGGUAGGGAGAUGUGCUUGAAAUUUUAAAGCGCGAGCUACUUGUAAAAUAUGACGAUGUUUACGUUCCAGAACCCUAUUUUGUUGCGGCGUGUAGACGCAAGAAUGUUGAAAAACGACCCCAUGAUUUUGAAAAAAAGAACGUAAAGAAAUAAAUUCUCCACCGUUAUCACUUCGAAAUGUUUUUAUUUGAGUUUCAAAUUGGGUCCGAACAAAACUGAAGAAAUUUUUUAAAAGUGAUUGUGCUUCAUUUUUAUGUCGCAUUAAAAAUAUCCAUGUGAAACGAGAAAAAUCAUCCACAAUGGUAAGAAAAUAAUGAGCACCAGUAAGGGAAGGAUGUCGAUAACGACCCCAAAUAUCACAAUGAAUUAUUUCAAAAGGUUUUAUUGAAGAAAUAGUACUAGGACUGAAAGGUAAACGACUCUGCUUUGCCAAAGGACAUAUAUGACAAGCAUUAUUUGACCGAAUUGAAAAUUUUAAAAAAUUCUUGGCAAUGAAACUUAAACAAGGAGAUGAUGCAUGCCCUAAGCGAUGAUGCCAGAGAUCGGUGGAUGAAAUGGUAAGAUUGCAUGUCGGCAGUUUUGUGGGUGGGGAGGCGGUGUUUAUGGUUUUAUUCGUCACAAGUGCCGUUAGAUAAUAUAAGUCGUCUCUUUGUUUACCCAAACCAAUCAUCCUCCUCGUAGCCAGAUCCUGCAAAAUACACCAAUAGGGAAAAAAAGUUAUUGAGCAGUUCAGGCCUCUCGUCAACCGACUAACUGAUAUCAGAUCAACUUUGAAAGUAGGAACACAAAGCACAUUAUGCAGAUAAUAAACAGAGUUCAAAGGUAGCGAUCCUUUGGCGACAAUAUUGACUUUCUCUCCACUGGGCAGCAUUACCGAAUGUAAUGAACAACUUUUAUUUUUACGGAAUAAUUUAAGUGACGAAGAAAUAUGAUCCGUUGCCCCGCUAUCAAUGAUCCAAUCGCGGGAAGUGAUUUUAGACAAACCUGGUUUGGUAACCGCAUUUGCCUGAGAUAUAGAGUCAUCAUUCUUACUAACAAGUGACAAAAGUUGUUUUAAUUGAUCCUCCGAAAUGCGCAUGAACUGGCUGCCAUCAACUUUGGGAUUGGUCUCGGUAAUGCUAUUGGCUGGAGGCCUGGCCCAAGAACUUUCGGCCACAUGAUUCACUGCAGGCCUGGCCCAAGAACUCUCGGCCAUAUGAUUCCCCGCAGGCCUGGCCCUGUUGUUGAAGCUGCGUGAGCCCGGCUGGAAUCUUCCUCUCGGAUGGCCCAUUGGAUAGCCAUUUAAUUCAUAACACGUCUGGACCCAGUGUCCAUUUUCUCCGCAGUGGGAGCAAUUUGGUCGUCCUCUACCUGCGAAAGUCCCCUGUCUCCGUCUGUCUUGGUUGAAACUUUCUGGUUGUCUCUCCUGCGACCGUGGUUCGUGCGAACCGUAUGAACGGUUGAAUCGUCCAUGUCUGGCUGGGUUGGGUCUUCCUCGAACAGCCAUAGCUGCACUGUUGAUGGGUUCAAUUGUGGUAUGCGAUGAAGUGAGGAUUCGCUGUUUCUCUUCCUGAGAAAUUGAAGAAUAUGCCUGCCGAAUUGAAGGAAGAGGAUUCAUGAGGAGGAUCUGCCCGCGAAUAGCACUGUAAGAAUCAUUCAGCCCCAUCAAAAAUUGCAUUAACUUUUGUUGAUCCUGCUGUGCCCCAUGGGUUGUGUUGUCAUAGGAUGCUAAUUCAUCCCACAGUCCUUUCAGUCUGGUAUAAUAGGAAGAAACAGACAGUUGUUCUUGCUUGAAAUAAGCAAUUUCUCGUUGUAUCUCGAAAAUUCGAGGAGCAUUGCUUUGGGAGAAUCUCUCAUUAAGGUCUUCCCAAACCUCAUGUGCAGUAGAGUAAUAAAUCACACUGUUGGAGAUGUCUGGACUGAGUGCAUUGAUAAGCCAUGAAUGCACCAUAUCAUUACACCGAGACCAUGCUGCAUAACCUUCGGGAUCAGUUUCUUCUGAAGGAAUUUUGAUUGAGUUGUUGACAAAACCUAAUUUGUUCUUGGAAUUUAAGGCUAAAGUCAUAGCCCUCUUCCAGGUGGAAUAAUUAUCUCCGUUUAGAGGUUUGGAGACUAAAAUCAGACUUGGGUGAUCGGAGUGAUGAGUAAAGAAAGGAUUUGAGAUGUUUGAUUUUGAGGGAUCUGCAGAGGCAGCAGGAACGGCUGCUUGAUUGUUCAUGCCUGUGUUGGCUGAUAAUUGAUUUUUUUUCUGUGGACAUGGUGAUUGGGAAAGUAGAUACUGGGUAGCCAAUGUAGUGAAGGGAAACGGUGGAUCAAGGAAAGUUAGGAUCUUUGAAUAUGCUCUGAUACCAUGAAAAGAUGGAAGAAGUAUUGAUUGAGUGAAUGAAUACAGACCUUAGGUCAUGUAUUUGUACAGCCAAGGCAUUCCUAUGAGUUAGGAAUGGGAACUACAUUACAGGAAAAUCAGCUACAAUAUAGGAACUAAAAUAGGAAAAUAAUAUGUACUGAUUAUCUAUUUCUAUAUAAAGAUAAUGUCAACAUUUAUCUUGUCAACAAUUCUGAGUAAGCUCUUGAAAUAUAUCCCAUGAGAAAAUAUUCGUUCAUUUGUUGAGGAUUUGAAAUUUAAUUUAAAAUUAUUGAGAAUGAUGAGCUCUGUGAAUCCAUAUUUAUUUAAUUUGAUUUUGAAAACGUUAUAGCGAAACACUUAUAUAGAUAUUAUGUGGUGGGUUGUUUUGUGUAUUAAAAUGUUUUUUUUUUAAUUUUUUUUUUGUGUUUUUAGAUUAUUUUGAUGUAUUUAUAUUAAAAAAUAUAUUUUUAAAAAAAUAUUAUUUGUAGCGAAAUGUUUGUAUAGAUAUUAAGUGGUUGUUUGUUUUUGUGUGUUUUUAUAAAAAAUAAAUAAAAAAUAUUUGCACUGAAAUGAUUGUAUAGAUAUUAAGGUUUGUAUUGAUAUAAUUAAAGUGGUUGUUUGUUUUUAGUGUUUUUAUAUUAUUUUAAUGUAUUUAUAUUAAAAAUAAUAUUUUUUUAAAAAAUAUAUUAUUUCAAUAUAUUUUUUAAAAAUAGUUACUUAGAAAUCCCUACGUUAAUGAGGACAGUCAAAUAGUCAAUGCUUUCUUCUAUGCUUAAAUAAUAUUCUAUCUAUUUAAAUUUUAUUUGAGGUGAAAAGGAUAAGAUAAACACCGAUUACAUGUAGUUUCCAGUUUUCAACGCUUGAUUAACUGUAUCCAUUGCCAAUAAUGAUGCUCAAUUACUCAUACGUGCCUGCUACUAAGGAGUGAGUAUGUUUCUAUGUGUUCUUUCUAUUUGCCAGGCUGGAGUCUGAAUUUAUUAAGAAUAUCGUUGGAGAUGUUUUGAAAAAAUUGCAUGCCAUGUAUUCAAGUCACACUAUGGCGGGUCUACUUGGAAUUGAUGUUCGUGUUAGCAAAGUUGAGUCUUUGUUAAAUAUGGAAUCUCCAGAUGUUCUCAUUGUAGGGAUAUGGGGAAUGGGUGGUAUCGGUAAGUCAACGAUUGCUGAAGCUGUAUGCAACAAGGUUCGUUCUCGAUUUGAAGGAAUAUUUUUUGCAAACUGUAGGCAACAAUCUGAUUUGCGAAGAAGAUUUCUUAAACGGCUGCUUGGCCAAGAAACUCUGAACACUAUGGGCUCGUUGAGUUUUCGAGAUUCUUUUGUGAGGGAUAGACUUCGUCGAAUAAAGGUUUUUAUUGUUCUGGAUGAUGUGGAUAAUUCAAUGGCUUUGGAAGAAUGGAGAGAUUUGCUUGAUGGACGAAACAGUUCAUUUGGUCCGGGCAGUAAAGUUCUCAUAACAAGUAGGGACAAGCAAGUGCUUAGUAACAUAGUAGACGAAACAUACAAGGUUGAGGGGUUGAACUAUGAAGACGCUAUUCAACUCUUUAACUCAAAAGCCUUGAAGAUUUGCAUCCCCACAAUUGAUCAAAGACACUUGAUAGAACAGAUUGCAUGGCAUGUACGAGGCAAUCCGUUGGCUCUUAAAGUUUUGGGUUCCUCUCUUUAUGGUAAAAGCAUCGAAGAAUGGCGCAGUGCAUUGAAGAAACUAGCUCAGGACCCUCAAAUCGAAAGGGCGUUGAGAAUUAGUUACGAUGGGUUGGAUUCAGAACAAAAAUCCAUAUUUCUUGACAUAGCACAUUUCUUCAAUAGAAUGAAGCCAAACGAAGCAACAAGAAUAUUAGAUUGCCUUUAUGGUCGGUCUGUGAUUUUCGAUAUAAGCACGCUCAUUGAUAAGUGUCUCAUAACUACUUUUUAUAACAAUAUACGAAUGCAUGAUUUACUACAAGAAAUGGCAUUUAACAUUGUUCGUGCAGAAUCUGAUUUUCCUGGCGAACGUAGCAGGUUAUGUCAUCCUCCUGAUGUCGUUCAAGUAUUGGAGGAAAAUAAGGUUAAAGCUACAGCCAUUAACUGUCGUUCAUGUAUUUGCUCAAAAGUUGAUGUGUUUGAGUAGAUUGUAUUAUUGUUUGUUUAUUCUUUAUUCUUGUUUAACAGGGAACUCAAAAAAUUAAAGGCAUAUCUUUGAGCACGUUCAUGUUAUCGAGACAGAUACACUUGAAAUCUGAUGCCUUCGCAAUGAUGGAUGGUCUUCGAUUUCUCAAUUUCCGUCAACAUACUUUAUCCAUGGAAGAUAAAAUGCACCUUCCUCCUACCGGCCUCGAAUAUCUUCCUAAUAAGCUGAGAUAUUUGAAAUGGUGUGGAUUCCCUUCGAAAUCCUUGCCGCCAUCUUUUCGUACUGAACGCCUUGUGGAGCUUCACCUAUGCAACAACAAGCUUGUAAAACUUUGGACAGGAGUGCAGGUAUGAUUUAAAUGCUGCAGAUUGAUGAUCAGAAAUAUGAAGUUGGAGGUGCUAACUUUCUAAUUAUGCCGUUUUCUUUUGACAGGAUGUUGGAAAUUUAAGAACAAUUGACCUAUCUGACUCUCCAUAUUUGACGGAAUUGCCAGAUCUAUCAAUGGCCAAAAAUUUACAGUGCUUAAGACUUGCGAAGUGUUCAAGUUUAACCGAGGUUCCGUCAUCUCUUCAAUAUCUUGACAAGCUGGAAGAAAUUGAUCUCUUUUCUUGCUAUAAUCUUAGAAGUUUUCCGAUGCUUGAUUCAAAGGUUCUCAGAAAACUUGUUAUAAGUCGGUGCCUAGAUGUGACCAAGUGUCCAACGAUUUCACAAAAUAUGGUAUGGUUACAGUUGGAACAAACUUCAAUCAAAGAAGUUCCACAAUCAGUUACUAGCAAGUUGGAACGUCUUUGUCUAAAUGGUUGCCCAGAGAUCACCAAGUUUCCAGAGAUUUCAGGGGAUAUAGAAAGAUUAGAACUAAAGGGAACUACUAUUAAAGAGGUGCCCUCAUCAAUCCAGUUUCUCACAAGACUCCGUGAUUUGGAUAUGAGUGGUUGCUCAAAACUUGAGAGCUUCCCAGAAAUCACAG
rnacentral:lncRNA from 1 species